rnacentral:lncRNA from 1 species
CUGCUGCUGGACUGGUGGUCCUGGAUCCGCUUGGUACUUUGGUGUGCCGAAAGGAGCGGCACUGGGGGGCGCUUAUAUGCACGCUCGGCUCUCGUGCAGGUACACUGGUACAGCGAGAGUGUUGUCAGAGACUUCGCAGUACACCUCGAGGUUUUGCAGUGGAAAUGAGGGAGCAGUUGCUAAACAAGUUACAGGUUACAUUACACGACGCCCGCGUCAGGUCAGGUCAAGUCAACAUGAAAAGCGACCUCGCUUUCCGCGGGAAGGCGCCUCAUAAACUACUCGUCACUUGGUUUGGCAAUUUUCGCGAAAGAUGCCACGGAUUCGUCCGGUCUUGGUUGGUAGUUCGAAUGUUAUGUGCGAUCCCAGUGUGGACGCGCCGGACCGAGACCGAACAUGCGGGGAGAGGACGUGCGUUUGGACUGGCGCCGAGGGCCAGCGCUGGUGUCCCCCUCAUGCUAGUGUCCGUCGCGUCGGAUCGGCGCAGCCGGGGAUCGAGUUGCCUUUGGCUCUCCGCAACAUCUGCUAGCUGCUGGUGCUGAGCAGUGAGCACUGGAGUGGCGGGUCCAUGCAGCGCUAGCCGCUAGCUACACCACCAGCGUGAGCCUGCUGCUGCCGCCCAAAGCAGAUGCACGGAUCAAAAGGGGACGAAAGGGAUGCUGUUUCCCGGCAUCAUUGCAGACGAGGAACUUAGAAAGUUAGAACCACUUUGGUAGGCUCCACCUCCUCCUAAUAUGGGAAGGAGCUGGAGGAGCUAAUUUUUUUUAUCCGACUUCUCCAUAUAAAAUAGCUCCGGUUCCUCUAAUGCUCCAAGGGUGGAGCUAUUUUUUAUCAAACUGUUUGGUAGGGUUUCAGCUGGAGGAGGCCAACCAAAUUGGGCCCUUAGUAGUACUGUACCAUGUGUACCACGCUACGCUGUGUUGCUGUGUCUGUGGUGUGACCUGCCGGCGUAGCUUUCCUUCGUGUGGACGAAAGAAGGCGCGUGCGCAGUGUGCGCCGAUCGUGUGGCGACCGUUCCUCCGAGCGUCGUUCUUUUCAGAAAGAAAGAAAGAAAUUACCGCGCCUCUGCAGGGGCCGAUGGUCUCUAGUCGUCCUUUUCUUGGUCGUAUUUUCCCACGAAGUACAGCUGUGAUUUCCUAACUUGAGGAAAUAUCAACAAUCAACGGUACGCAUAUGUUCCUCUCCCUGAAAUUUCACUUGAAUUCCUGCCCACGUCCAGAUUCCAGAUGCAGGGUUUACUGCAUAAAAACUGGAGUGAGUUCUGAAUGUUAGGCUGUAAUUUCUCGCCAUCGCGCGGUGCUAUACCCCUCGCUGCAAGUGCGCCGAGAGCAGGAGGGCCAGGGAUUUGGUUAAGUGGGAGGCGAAAGAGAUCGGUCGCCGGCUCGCCGCUGACGCGACGGAAAGACUUAUUCUUGCCUGCACUAACGGCGAAGUGGUGGGUGGCCGCUCGGCGUCAACCGAUCGCUACUCCGCCAUCUCCGUCACAGUACACCGGGCAUCGGCGAGACGAGACCCUCGUGCGGUUUCUUCCAGUCCAUUUCACUAGUCACUACUAGUGGUUUUGAAUAAGCGAGUGGUUGAUGUUGAUGAGUCUGGCUAAACCAAACCAGAUAAUUAGAUGGAUAAUUAGCGUGUGAUUGGCAGGGUGGUUCGAUGGAGAUUAACAUACGACUCCGUGUCUGCAGAAGCGAACAAGAGGCAGCUCUCAUGCGUGAAGGCUGAAUACCGAGAGAGCAUCUCUUGCGAAAGCACAGGGACAGGUCUGGCUCUGCCUGACUGACCGGUCUCGGUCAGUCAGCUGGUCAUCCCCCCCGCCCCCCCCCCCCCCCCCCCCCCCCCCCCCCGAAAUUUCCUCGGCUACUGAUUCGACUCGACCAAGAUGAUUGAAUCCAGGAUGAUUCACGUUUGGAAAAUGAAGGAUUAUUGAUCUAUGAUUUGUUCAUAUUCAUGUUUUUUAUAAUUAUGGCCUUUGCCUUUUUUUUAUUUCUUCGAAGCAUCUUAACGUUCACUUACUACAAUAAUUCAGCAUCUAGCUCUUUUUUAAGAAACACAAGAAAGACGCAAACACUCGCAUCAUAUACAAAUAUAACAUUUGGUAGGAGCCCAUGUGUUCCCUGUAGAUUACCUGCACAUAAUAUUUGAUAGGUGAUUUGCCAAUGGUUAUUUCAUUUCUACUGAGUCAUAAUGCACAACAUAUAACAGAGUCCCCCGUUAUCAUCAUAGAUCUUGUCUAGCUUUCAUUCCCUUAAACCCAAUUCCUAAUUAAACAUGUGGGAAUAACUUCGACACAAAUAUUUCUCUUCGGAACAUUCCCCCCAAACUUCCACGAUAGUAAUGAAAAAAACUUCUCCGGAAAAUUUGCUACUUGCAUCUGGUACCACCGACUGGGGAGUGGGGACGCAGUAGUAGUCGUUUGUCUUCAGAAAAGGGAGCUUUUUCCGUCAAAAGUCCUCCAAGUGUAUGGUGUGUUGAUUAAUCCAAGCCUGUAGGUUUUGGUAGUCCAAGUCGUCCUCUAGUCUAAAGAAGAAAGAGGCUAAAGUUCUCAAAACGAAGUCUGUGAUGCAUGCAAUCUGUGCGAUGAAGUGCGGAUCAAUGAUGACAGUAUAUAUAAAAGUGCCAACAUGUCUCCUGCCUGCAUCUACUACGAAUGAAACUAUGAUGCACCGGCUUUCCAACUUUUGCUUGACCUGACGACCGAUGACUGGGGGAGUCUGGUUCUUCCUGUUCUCACUGUUGGUAGCCUCUUUCCGGACAAGAAAUUGCAGUAAUUGUGUGCUACGCUAGUGGCAAGUGGCAACCGGUUCGUUCUUUCCGAGAAAAUCCUUCCGAAGCAAAUGGCAUCAAUUUUUUUUUCGGAAUGCAAUAUAUCACCAUUGCUCAACGCUACACAGGUUCGCAGUCACAGACACGUCUAUAUGCAAUGGUCGUACCCUCUUGGCCUCUUCUGUAAGAGAUGACCCAACCAGCUGACCAAAAUGAGUGUGGGCACUCUCUAACCCAACUCGUGCAAGCACCAUGUCCCUUCUUCCUGUUUGCUUGACCAUUCCUAUUCAGAGAAAAUUUACAGUAUGCGCGCAUGGAGGGGAUAAAAAGGGCAAAAGAGAAAAUUUCGAAGAAUGCUGUCCUGGCUUAAGAGUUCAGACAGUUGCAGAAGCAUACAGAUGCCUGCAGCCUGCUAUCCUUUCUAGUUUCUUUGCCGAUAGUACUGCCGCGAAAGCCCGGAGAAAUUUUGCAAGGCCCCAAGUUGAAGCCCAAGUCCAUGCAAAUUUUGCUGCAGAGAGAUGAGCCGUCGUCGACCAUUGUAGUAGACGUAGUAGUGUAGCUGCAGUUUAACUCCAAAAAAAAAAAACUUCACGGGCCUUGCAAAUUUUCCACUCCAUAGCAUCUCAGCAUGGAUGAAGGAAGCUGCAGUUGAAGGACUUGGAGAAAGUCUUGCAAAGUUGCAAUCGUAGAGAAACAUGAGAGCAGGGUACUGAUCCCAUCAGAUACUAUCGCGUUGUAUGUAUGGCACAGCUUUAACAGGUAGCUGAACUGCGUCGAGAAAAACUGAACUGAAGACGACGACGGCCUAACUGAAUCCUAGCGAAAGUCUAGCAGCGUCGGUCACCGGGGUACGCGACCGGGCUCACCCGGCAAGACCGCGGCGUCGUUGAGGAAGCGGAGCGCGAGCUCUGCGCCAGACACCGUCUCCGCCCAAGCUAGCUUUGCAAAAACACUUGCAGCCGUCGGAUUGAAUUUGGACAUCGGAUACGGGGUCUUAAGUCACGCCAUCUUCGUCCCACCCGGCUCCGGCCUUCGAUCCUCCAUUUCCCCAACACCGCCGAGAGACAGCAGCCGGCGGCGACAGACAAAUCGAUUCGAACGCGAGCAGCCGGCGGCGAUGGCGUGGCGGGCGAGCCUGUCCCGCAGCGUGAAGGAGAUCCGCGUCCUCUUCUGCCAGUCCUCCCCCGCCAGCGCCGCCGCCCGGUACCACUCAGCCCCAUCUGAUUCUCUCCCUAUCUGAAACUGCUGCUUCUGAUGCGGUGGUGUUGUGUUGCCGAUCUGGUCGCGGCGCAGGGAGUUCGUGAAGAAGAACUACGGGGACAUCAAGUCCCGCAACCCCUCCCUCCCCUUCCUCGUCCGCGAGUGCUCCGGCGUCCAGCCCCAGCUCUGGGCGCGCUAUGGUACGCACCCCUCUUCCUUGGCCCUUGCCCUCCGGUUAUAGUCUAAUUCGGACUGGUUUGAGACGUUUAUAAAUCCUUUCCAUGUCCCGUGCGGAAUGUUUUGAUCUGCACCUCCGGAUCUUGUCUUUGGAGGUUUUCCACUGUUCAUGUUCGAUUGAGCCAAAAUGGUACUAGUAGUGACUGAAAAACCUGCCAAGAGAUUAGUGGAGAAUAACCAUGCAGGCUAGUUGAUGGCGAAUUGGUGUCACACCUCCGGCUUAGCUUUUCUGGACUGUAAAAUAUGGUGUUGAACCAGCCCCAUGUCAAAUCCAACAUGAGUGUGGGAAUGUGACGGCUAAGCUGAUUCAAUGGCACCCUCAGCUUUAUAAUCCUGGACGAAAUUUUCUUCAACAGUUAUUCUGUUGUAACAGUUGCAUUCUGUUUCUUCAUCUGGUUAGCAAGUAAAAUCAGCAGAGUUUUUUCAUUAGGAACAUUUUGAUUUAAUUUGAAAAUUAUAUCAUAUUUGUUGGUGCAAAGCAGAUCUGCCGUCAAAAGGAUUAAAACAUGCUAUGGCCAUUGGCCAUAUGCCCCAGCUUAAAAUCUAGAUACACUUGCAUCAUGAACUAAUUAUGUCAGGUUUACUACGUGACACUCCACUACAUUAUUUCUCGGACAUUUGGCCAAGUUUGAGCAUACCAAAUUAGUCAAUUUAUGGCUCCGGGCACUCACAAUGUAGAUCCAGUCUGAAGCUCCAUCUACUUGCCACGUUAGGAGGUAAAUUUGCCUUUUAUCCAUGUCAGUUACCAUCUCAUCCCUUUCCAACAACCCACAGCUGAAUAAAAUGUCAUCGUUAUUUCAUCCACCUCAUUAUUCUCAAGUGGGGCUGCAACAUUUUCUUCUUCUUCUUCUUACCUGACACCAGUGCACCAGGUGUCCACUCGCUCCAAUUCCACAUAAUUCCAUUAUUCUGCAUCACCUGUUUUGCUCUUAGCAACUGGAGCCAUCAAAGGUACAAUGCUAAAAAAACAACUGGCAUCGUUUCAGAUUGACCUUAGCCAGAUUAAACUAAAUGCCUGAUCAGCCAGGCAAACUGAAACAAGCUCUGUUUUUGCCAUCAGAUUAAGUUUAUUUUGCCAAAUGCCUCGUAAACUUCACUAAUCAUUGUUGUGCACAUUAAUAAUUUGACAGAAACUGGAUCAGCAACAAGUCCUUAUUAAUCCUCACCAUUAUGCUUCUCGUUUAUGUCCAGUAGCAUGGAAUUAACAUGGCAAGAACAAGUUUUAUACAAGACAGUGCUUUAGGUUAUGCUAAAGAAUUUUGUUUCAUAAAUGCACCAAGCUUAUGUUGGUGCAGUUUCGACGAAAUAGCUUUAUUUUAAGUAAUCAAAUUAUAGCUUGGGUGAAUUAGACCCUAGAAACAUGGAGCCAUGCUUUCUGCUUUAGAGGUGCAAACUUUGUUUCCAUAGCACCAGUGAACCAGAAAUCAUCUUCUCACGCUCAAAGUUCAAAUCAACCUAACCUUUGACCAUAAUAAAAUAUUAAGGCAUAUCUCUUGGGGUGUUCGAAGCUACUUAAGGUUUUGCAUCUUAUAAGGCGAAAUACCCAGAGACUUGAUAGCAUUUAUUGUGAUAUAAAAUAAAACAAAGGAAAGCCUGGUUAUACUGGAAGAUUGUUGUUGGAUUUUGGUUUCUGCUGCCAUUCUGCAAACUGCACCGUGCAGUACUUCAAAUACACUGUAAAACGGAGAAAUGCACUCCAAUUCAGGGUGUUUAAGUAUUGCAUUAUCUCAUCAUUUAUUGCUAUGAUCUCUUGGCAUUUGUGUGCCAUGUUUUCUGUUUGAAAGAAUAUGCAUUUCAUUAUUUGACUUUUAUAGUUUCUGUAGAUCGGCAUCAUGUAUGUAUUUCAUUAUUGAAUUCUCUUAUUGUGGUUGUGGAAUGUAGUUCACAUAUUCUAUUUAUUUAAUCAUGGGUGCUGAGCAUUCUAGUUGAAGACGAAAGUGCUGAAAAUAUGACAUAUAAUCUACCUUGACAAGGAUAUUAGCUAAAAGAUAUUCAUGGCCACAGUGCUUUAUGUUUGCUUUGGAUCCUUUUGUUGGAGGAUACAUCUGCUCCAUCGUGUAUCUUCAUCGCUGCUUGAUUGCUAUGUGAAACGUAUCGUUUGGCCUUAACUCUCCGCUGUUAUUUAACUGGUCAGAAAUGGGUGUGGAGAGAUGCGUGAACUUGGAUGGCCUGACGGAAGCGCAGAUUGAUAAGAAGCUCGAGGAGCUCGCAAAGGCUGGAGAGUCUGCCAACGCGAAGUGAUGUUGGGAAGUUCCACAACCUCUCGUCAUGAUGUUCACAAAUAAGUGAAACUUUAGCAGUGGUUUUCCUGCUGUCAUGACUUCUGUGCUAAGAAUGAAAUGAAGUCUUGGAUUUGUAUUAACUUUUUGCAAGAAACGUAGACUGCUAUUCACUUGUUUGCCGCACAUUCUUCUCAUGUUUAUCAGUUUAUGCAUAUUUCAUUGGUUCACCGGUAUCCGUAUACUGCAUAGUUCUGUAACCUAUUCUUUCAUAAACGCAGAAUUUAGAAGUCUCUAUUGAUUUCUUACCUGGAUCAUAUGAGUAUAGGACUAGCGUACGGUCUUCCAGUGAUGAUGAAUGCCCUUCACAAGAAAGAGGAUAAUGCCCUUGAGCUUUGCGCUAGGGUUACAAUCGUGCUCAAGAGGAUAAUGUCCCUACCACGAACAUACCGUACGCUUUGCCUGUCACGCUGACACGAACAUAAACUGGUUCCCUUUUCCUAACUUUGAUACUAUGCAAAAAGAAGAUAUACCAUCAUAUCAAACUUGCAGUACAUGCAUGGAGUACUAAAUGUAGACGAAAUUAAAAACUAAUUACACAGUUUUGUUCUAAAUGUAGACGAAAUUUAAAACUAAUUGCACAGUUUUGUUGUACUUUGCGAGACGAAUCUUUUGAGACUAGUUAGUCAAUGUUUGGACAAUAAUUCACAAAUAUAAAUAAAAUACUAUAGUUGCACAUUUAUAACAAAAUACAAACUUUGCCGCUCACAAUUUGAAAACUAAGCCCUAGCGUCCACCGCUGAGCCCCAAAAUCUCAAUAACAGAGCCCCGAAUUCAGCCUUCAGGCCCAACAUUUCUCGGCUCGGACCCACCAACUCGAACAAGAGAGACGUCCACCAAGGUCCAGCGGUCCAGCCUCCGUCCGCAUAAAACUGGCCGAUCCGCUCCGCGCCACUCAUCGGACACCGGAGCAAUGCGCGCGGGCGGCGGCGCGACCCCCCGACCCGCACCACUCCCCGCGGCCAUCUCCUCCACUGCCACGCUACUAGUACCCGCCUCCGUCGCCAUGCCCACGCCGCGCCUCACGCACCUGCGACGCCUCCUCCUCCCGCUCCGCUCCGCCGCUCCCCACCCGCUCGCCCCAAACCCCGGCCGCCCGCUCCCCGUGCCGGCUCACGCAUCCCUUCUGCUUCUCCCCCGCGCCAUGGCCGGCGCCGCCCACGCAGGUGAGCGAGACGAAAUAGCCGAGCCCCGUUCGAUUAAGCCUCAGUUGCGUUUCUGGUUGGUGAGUCCACGGAUGCCGGUGGAGUUGCAGGCGUGGCGACGGGGUCGGCGGAGUACGAGGAGGUGCUCGGGUGCCUCGGGUCGCUGAUAACGCAGAAGGUGCGAGCGGACACCGGCAACCGUUGUAACCAGUGGGAGCUCAUGGCCAAGUACGUGCAGGUGGGUGGGCGCCCGCCGGUGGGUUUCCGAUCGGUUCGUGUCUGGUUGUUUGUUGUUGUUUCUGAUUUGGGUGCGGUUGCGUUGUCAGAUACUGAAACUGGAGGAGCCCAUCGCGCAGUUGAAGGUGGUUCACGUUGCCGGGACCAAAGGGAAGGUAAGCGCUCGCUGCAUGUGUGUGGUGUCACUGUCACAGUUUGGGCUUAGCUUUGUCUUGAAGUUCUGAACUGCUUUGGAUGGAUUUAGGUGUGCGGUUCCAGAGUAGCACAGCUAUCGGUGACCGUGCACAACGGUAGUUGUCAUGGAGCUAUAACAUUAUCUCAAUGAUCAGUGCUAAUUCCUACUAUUUGUUUCCAUCUGGCCUGUGUUUCUCUAUCGAGUGCUGGAGCCUUUAUUGUCAUAGUAUAUUGGCAUAAGCAAAAAAAGGAGAGCACCCAGGACUCCCAGUAGAAUCAUUAUCUUUGAUUCUUGGGAGAGCGGGGGACUUGAAAUCAUAACCAACCACCGCAACCUCUGGUGUAAAAUGGUUUACUUUGAAAACCUGCGUAACUGUGCUAAAUUUACUAACCCUGCAAAGGAAAAUGUUUAAUGGAUGCAUCUUGAUAGCUCUUUAUCUCUCUGUCCUUUAGGGUUCAACAUGCACAUUUACUGAGUCAAUCCUUCGAUCAUGUGGUUUCCGCACUGGACUGUUCACUUCACCGCACUUGAUGGAUGUUCGCGAGCGAUUUCGACUUGAUGGGUACUUCAUCUGUUACCACCUUGCAACCUUUAUUUUUUAUCGGUUUGGUAUGUUUAGCUUGUCGUCAUUGUAGUUGAAGGCUUUUAUAGUUGAGUUGCUUUAGUUUAUUUGAUUCUUGCUACCAUUAGGUACAUUUACGCUUAUUGAUUGUCCUCUCUUCUUAUGAGUUCAUAGGCUGGACAUUUCGGAAGAAAAGUUUAUAACGUAUUUCUGGUGGUGCUGGAACAAACUGAAGGUAACUAUCCACCUGAUUUGCUUUAUAUAUGUGUAGUGAAAUAUAAAAGGAACAACAGUGGAUCCGCAGCAUCUUUCUCUGAGUUUAUGGGUGUCUUGGAAACAAUCAUUGGCGUGGUCGAAUGUUUUGUUGUGCCUUCCAGGACAAGACUGGUGAUGAUGUACCAAUGCCGGCCUACUUUAGGUUUCUUGCACUGCUAGCAUUCAAGAUCUUUUCAGACGAGCAGGUUAAUACUUUGCAAACACUUUCUGGUCUGCAUCUGCAACUUUUUUAAUCAUAUAGUGGUGUAGCUAAGCAUAUCCCACCUUUCCCUUUUUAUGGAUUUUGAGUGUUUUCCCAAUCAAAGGAUAUUUGUGGAUAUUGGUUCAUUUAAUAUCAGACUAAAUUGGUAGAAAAGCAUAUGUUGUGGCAUAGUUGUUGAAUCUAAAAGAUUGCUUCCUCCAUAAUUGUCAUCAUCUUCGCUUACUGUCUGCAGCUAAUAGUCCAAUACUCUUCACAGAUAUGAGCACAUCAUUAGUAAUCUAAAUUAUGAAGUGCUUACUUGUCUACUGUAAGUUUAUUUAAGAAGCAAUUACCAUUUUAGGUCAGUGAACCUGUCAUAAACUGCCCAAAUGUUACGAUGCUUUCUUAGCAACGUACUCAAAUCUUUCUUUCUUUUGUCACGUUUAAGCAGGUGGAUGUUGCUGUGCUCGAGGUUGGUUUAGGAGGGAAAUAUGAUGCAACGAAUGUGGUGCGUGGCAUGCUUAUUUUAUCAUUCUCUAUUCGAAUAAUGCACAGUAGUAGAAAAUUUUCAUGAUUCAUAUGAUAUAAGCGCCAACUAAAAAGGAAGCUCAUCGACUACCAAGAAUUAUGUAGAUAUACCAUAUUGAAUUUCUCAUUUAAAUGCUGAACUUGGCAAUUAUAUUUUGUAUCCAAAAAGUUUGGAUUGGGAUCUUGUUGCAAGCUAUAAUAGAUCAGUAGUGCUGUAGUUUGUUUAUUUAGCCAUCUAGGUUCAGUUGCACCCUGUGUAGAGUCUGUUUGAAGUUCACACUUGUGCAUUUUUUUUCUUCUAUUUUGGCUUGUUGGAAUCAUUUCGGGACCUUGACUUGAACAAAAGCUGGGGAGCAUAGCUGAUUUGUAAAUUGAAACAUUUGCAGGUCCGAGCACCUGUUGUUUGUGGAAUAUCAUCCCUCGGGUACGAUCAUAUGGAAAUUCUGGGUUAGUCAUGAAACUUAAAGACGAAUUAUCUUGCAUACCAUGUUUAGUAUAUUUGUUUCACACAGCCAAUGUUUGUUGUUCCCCAUGAGCAGGAAACACACUUGGAGAAAUUGCUGGAGAGAAAGCUGGGAUACUUAAGGUGUUUUGCUAGUUUUGCUCGGAUCUUCUUUAAUUGACCACCUGUGGCUAAAACUAUUUUUUUCUUGAUUCCUAUAUGGCCUAUUUCCUCAAUACAGAAAGGAGUUCCGGCCUAUACAGUUCCACAGCUAGAAGAGGCAAUGUCUGUACUGAGGCGCCAAGCUUCUGAAUUGGGUGUAUGUUGCAUUUAGUGCUGCACUUAUUUUUGGUUGCCAUCAUGCCCUUGCACAUAUUAAUUUGUCCAUAAACAUGAUUACAGUUCUGAUCAGUUUUUUGAUAUGAUAAUUGACUUUAAUCCUCUAAAGGUUUCUCUUCAAGUAGUCCAGCAUUUGGACCCAAAGAAAUUAGAGGGUCAGCCUCUUGGACUCCAUGGUGAGCACCAAUACACGAAUGCAGGUCUUGCUGUUGCCUUGGCGAAUACGUGGCUUGAGAAGCAAGGUCAUUUGGAUAGAAUGCAUGCCAGACAUUCUGUAAGUACUCCAAAUAGGUAUUUAUUUAUAUCGCUGCAAAAUAUGUUAGUGUCCAGUUGUCAUUCUACCACUGAAUGCAGGAUGCCUUGCCAGAUCAGUUCAUCAAAGGGCUGUCAAGUGCUUGUCUGCAAGGCCGAGCACAGAUUGUUCCAGAUCCACAAGUGAACUCUGAAAACGACAAGGAUGGUAAUUCUUCACUGGUUUUCUAUUUGGAUGGGGCGCAUAGCCCAGAAAGCAUGGAAAUGUGUGCAAGGUGGUUUGCCCACGUUACAAAUUAUGAUAGAAUGCAGCCAGUUUCUUUGAAGCAGCCUCAUGCUGACAGGAAUUCUAAGAAGGUAUGCAUUGCCAUGGCAGCUUUUCUUGUCGAAUCAUGUUUCUUUCUUUCUCUUUUACGUACAAUUGUUCUUUAUUUAUAAUAUUAUAUGCAUCUUAUUUUGGAUUUUUUAUGUUUGCAGAUUCUCCUUUUCAAUUGCAUGACUGUAAGAGAUCCUCAGAGAUUGCUUCCACAUCUUCUAGAUACAUGUGCUCAAAACGGUACAUCAAUAAAAUUCCUUAUUGAACUGUAAUGAUUUCCUUACAUAGUUACUCAUGAGUAUAUGACAUUUCGUACAAGGUAUUUAGUUAAAAAAUGAACUAAUUUACUUGACCUAAACGUCAUAUAUUUGAGAAUGGAGGGAGUAUGAUAUAUGGGAAAGAACAAGAUUUUCCUAUAACCGUUGCUGAUUUGCAUGCCAUGUACAAAGUAUGUCCGAUGGUUCCCUUGAAUAGUUUAGUAAACCAGCUAAUUGAGUAGUGUGUAAACUUAUCAUCAUACCUUGUAUUUGCUCUCUCUCCAAGAUCAAUGCAUUUGUAUUAUGAAUUGUAUGAAUGCUUCUUCUGGCCCUAUAAUGAUUAGUAAUCAUUUUUCUCAGGUCUCCACUUUGAGCAGGCCUUGUUUGUGCCAAACCAAUCACAGUACAACAAGCUUGGUUCCCUUGCAUCACCACCUUCAGAGCGUGAACAAACUGAUUUGUCAUGGCAGUUGUCACUUCAAAGGGUGUGGGAAAGCCUGCCUCAUAGCAAUAAAGGUGUUCUAAACCGCAUUGUGAAACUGUGUUUAAUUAUCAGCUUGUGUUUUCUUAUUGAAACUACAUAAGUCCAUUGAGUUGAAGAUGAUAUAUAGGCUUUUGCGGGAAUGAUGCAGGUCUAAAUGGUGCGAACACUAGCAGGACUAGCUCAGUUUUUGAAUCUCUCCCGCUGGCAAUUCAGUGGCUAAGGGAAACUGCUAAACAGAACCCAUCGACGCAAUUUCAGGUGAAAGCUUAUGCUACAGUUUCUAUUAUACUCUCUCAAAUGCUUCGCAUCAUUUCGACAUCCUAUCACGUGCAUCCAGAGUGCUUGAUGCAUGGUUCACUCAGUACUAGGCUGAGCUACUCUGUCAUGGGCUUGCGGAAUUCAGUGCCACUUUAUUAAAAUAUGUUGUAGUAACCAUCACUAAUUUAUGUACUUCAUCAUUAAUUCAUAUUGUCAUGUAUUGUUCUUCAUCCUCUGAAUCUGAUUGCUCGUGUGUGAUUAUGCAUUGUCAGUUAUUUUGUUUUUGUUUCUGAUAUUGGGAAUAUCUGACAUCUUUGUUAAAUUUGUUUUGUUUCUAUGUUACUUUGGUUCUGCUACUAUUAUAUAUAUAUAUAUAUAUAUAUAUAUAUAUAUAUAUAUAUAUAUUUCUCAGUCUGGCAGCUGUUUUCCUACCUGACACUGAUACAUUUGCAUUUGCACACUGAACCAGGUCUUGGUUACUGGCUCCCUGCACCUUGUUGGUGAUGUCUUGAGAUUGCUCAAGAAGUAACUUCAUUUGGAAUAGCACAUUUUAUUGAAAUGGCUGCUUACAGAAGCAAUAGCUGGAGCCUAGGGUAAUUUGUGAUUGGGACACAAUAUACCAACUUGGUUGACAGACAGGAAGAAAUUGGAAAGCAUUUUGAUUCCAGAGCCGGUCAACUGUAAACUUGUGUUCUUCUUUUUGGUGGCAAUGUGUGCCACUGCAGCCUCAGUCCAGAAGAACGUAACCCACUUCUUGAGAUUGCUCAAGAAGUAACUUCAUUUGGAUUAGCACAUUUUAUUGAAAUGGCUGCUUGCAGAAGCAUUAACUGGAGCCUAGGGUAAUUUGUGAUUGGGACACAAUAUACCAACUUGGUUGGCGACAGGAAGAAAUUGGGAAGCAUUUUGAUUACAGAGCCAGUCAACUGUAAACUUGUUGUAUUCUUCUUUUUGGUGGCAAUGUGUACCACAGCAGCCUCAGUCCAGAAGAGUGUAACCCAAUUUUGAAAUGUACAAACCGAGAAUUAUAUUAACAGUCAUACCUUUUAUUUAUACUUAUCUGGCAAAGAAGUAAUUUUAUAUGUUUUCUGUUCUAUAAGUGUUUGUUAUGGUAAAUUCCAGAUGCCCUUUAAUCUGCAUUCCCUAUUGGAGAUUAAUUGUCAACUUGUCCUGGAUAUACUUGAUAGUACUUUGCACAGAAGCAGAACUGAUAUAGUACACUUUCUUUUCAGAAUUAUGAGUUCAUGGGAGUGAAACCAGAUAUAAGAAAAUCCUGCUUGCUUUUGGGGAUAAAUAAGAUUUAAUACUUGGGUGAGAGACAAAAGGUAGGUACACGUGUGUCCUAGGUCUCACUAUUUUCUCCCCUUUUCCUCCAGUUCAGAGGCCAUAAUUGCUACUCCCUCCGUUCCAAAUUACAAGUCAUUCUAACUUUCUUGAAGAGUCAAAACAUCUCAAGUUUGAUCAAAUUUAUACAAUAAAGUACUAGCAUUCAUGAUACCAAAUAAGUACCAUUAGUUUUUUAUUAAAUAGUAUAUCCAUUCAGUGUCAUAAAUUUUUGUGAUCCUUUCUAUAAUUUUGGUCAAGCAUAAAAUGAUUUGACUCUUCAAAAUAGUUGGAAUAACUUAUAAUUUAGAACGGAGGGAGUAGUGAACUGAAUAUGUUCCAAUCAUCUGAGCUACUUUUUAUUCUUAUUCUUCUUCUUUGAUGCUCUAUGUAAGCUUAUUUGUUAUACUUCACAAAAAGUCUAAUGGCAUUUUCUUUACAUUAAACCAUCAAUUGAUGAAGUGUAUAUUAUUUUAUAUUCAUCGCAUGUUUGUGUUAUGGGUUUAUUUACGAAUGCGUGGUGUUUUUGUGUGCAUUUCUGGGUGCACUAAGAACAACACUGGUCGACAGAUAACACUGGCUUUUUAGUCUCCUAUUAAUUCCGCGGAUGUUCGGACUAUUAAUAGUCAUUAUCUAUCAUUGGACACUAAAUAUGGUCCAUCACUUUGUGUAGGAGAAUGACCAAAAACUAGAACCAUGCAAGUAGUGUCCAAAGUUAGUGUUACGAAUCUGGAACUUUUAUUCUUACACUUCUGACCUUUUCCUUUGGCUUGGAGCCUCCCUCUUCUAUUUCUCCCACAAAUUUUUCUCUUGCAGAUCAGGAUUCAGGCAUUUCAUUUUAAAGUCUUCCACCACUUCUUCUGCCGACCCUCUUUGGCUUUCUUCUGCAUCCAUCGUGUUGCAGAUUGAGAGCCAAAGGCAGGUUAUCUUAUACCAUUAGAAGGGUUGUGCCAGCCGACUCUUGUUAGCAACUGAGCAACAUAUUUCGUUAGGUACCACCACUUAGACAUCAAGAUGACGUUCUCUGGUACGCAGGACAAGUGCAAGGCUUGUGACAAAACCGUGCAUUUCAUUGAUCUCCUCACCGCAGAUAGCAUUCCGUACCACAAAUCUUGCUUCAGAUGCAGCCACUGCAAAGGCACACUUUCGGUACGCCCUCUUUCUUGACAUUUGCAAACCCAUGGCGCGUAGUAUCGAUUUCUUAUACCUUCUAUGAUGUUUCUAAAUUAUCCUUUUAUGCAUGAGCUGAUGUUAAACUGUGCGUAUGUCAGAUGUGCAGCUAUUCCUCCAUGGAUGGGGUUCUUUACUGCAAGACCCAUUUUGAACAGCUGUUCAAGGCGACAGGCACCUUCAGCAAAAACUUCCCCACAGGUAAGCUUGACUUGCAUAGUUCCAUCACAUUAUUUUCUCUCGGAUUUUUAUGAAAGCAUGGCAUCAUCUUAUUGCUAUAUAUUCUUUUUAUUUCCAUUCAGGUCCGAAGGCAAAUAAUGAACAGGUACCGUGUCCUCACAAUCUUUGAUUGCUUUGUUUGUAGAGUUUUUCAUGUAUCUCCUUUACCAGAGUCCAUAUUUUUCUCGUGUGAAGACUAUUAAACAAAUAGGAUUGUAAUCUUCAAAAAGCUGCCAGUAUGAUUAGUCAUCCAUGCUGUCCAUUCAAUAUUUUAAAGGGUACAAUCAGCAACGUGCGUAAAAUUUGCCAUGGAUUUCAGCUCAUAAUUUUUUUCUUAUUGUAAACAGUCUAAGGUCCCCAACAAGUUAUCCUCUCUGUUCUGCGGAACUCAAGACAAGUGUGCUGCCUGCAACAAGACUGUGUACCCAUUGGAGAAGGUACAAUCAGCAAAAUGGAUUACAUUUGAGUUUUUUUCCCGGUGAAUUUCACCAGCUUUUACUAUUAAACACGGGCAUAUAGCUAUUCCCUCAUCUCCAGGAGUUCAUCUUGCUUGCCUGAACUCUGAAUAUCCGGUCGCUCAAAUUUACUCUGCAGAUCACAUUGGAGGGCGAGCCCUACCACAAGACCUGCUUCAAAUGCGCUCGCGGCGGCUGCCUCCUGACGACCGCCACGUACGCCUCCCACAACGGGAUCCUCUACUGCCAGAUCCACUUCUGGCAGGUGUUCAAGGAGACCGGCAGCUACAGCAACCUGCUCAAGCCUGCGCCCGCGAAGAACGCCGCUGGCGAGCCCGAGGCCGCAAAGGCAGAGGCAGCCAAGGAAGAAGCGUCACCGGAGCAGGUCCCCGAAGCCCCAGAGGACCAGGAGCACUGAAGUGAAGCACCCACACGCGAUCCGCGCAGGCAUACACUGCACACGUUGCUUGGAUUUUAGCUGUAUAUCGUGCCCUUACGUUGGUACGGGCAACAAAAUAUUUAUAUUGCAAUACAUAUUGGAUUCAACAUGACAAUAAUAAAUGUGAAAUCAAAUACAAAUAUGGAAUGAGUAUAUUAUCCAAGAUUGUUGUUACGCCAUUAAACAAAAUUUGGUGCGACACGUUAUUUAAAGGCCAACCAAAUCUAUAAUAUUUCUUUGCAUGUGAUGCGAUUAAGAUAAUAUUUCUUUAAGGUAAGUGCAUUGCAAUAUGUAUUCUAUUUCUCUCUGCAAUUCAAUCAGCUAUUUAGACAUGUACUGGAUAAAUUCUGUGCAAUUACCAAAAAAAUUACAAAGUAUGUGAGAAAAGACAGUGUGUCAACCUGCUGCUUAACUGAGUUUGAAUACAUAUACACCUAAACCAAAUUUAGCACCUAAAACAACAAAAUUGCCUUUUCUUCAAAUGCCCCAUCUGCAAAAUCCCACUGGAUGAAUUACUACAUGAAAUAAGAACUGAAACUUAACUGAGCACUUUUAUUUUAGUAUUCAGUGUGAAGUGCUCAAACUGUAUUUCAAUACAAAUUCACAUGAUUCCAAAGCAUAUGUUAUCACAUAUAUGAGUUUUAUUGUCACAUUAUUUUUAUGUCAAAUUGAUUUCUGUGAGAACAUCAAAAGAUACUUGCCUAUGAUUUUGGUGUGGAUGGAUCACCAAGAAGCAAGCGCCUCUCAAACGUACACCACCAGGGAUCAUCUGCAGUAAGAGUGGUUUAACACACAGCAAGAGAACAUGGUUAUGGAAAAUGGAAUGUCAUUGUUUUCCCGAAAACAUUUCAGAAGGGAUUCAGAAAAUAUUCCAAGUACGUGAACAAAAGAAAAACAAUUUUGCUCAUAUGUUGUAUCUGUAUGGCAUAAAAUCCAUGUACCUGAACAAAAGAAAAUCAACUUUGCUCAUAUGUUGUAUCUGUAUGUAGCCAUGUCCUGCAACCAUAGCAAAGAACUCCACUACUCGAUUGCCACCAUGGCAAUAUAUGUGCACAACAAAUCAGAACAGAAAUGAAAGCAAAAUUCUUGAAAAACAGAUCCACUCCAAUAGAUCUUUUGAGGUCUCAAGUGAUGCAAGGUGACUACACCCUAGUGACAGACCUGGUCAAAAAGGUUAUCCAAACUGCUAAAAAGGUCCACGAUGCAGUAGAUUGCACCAAAAUCUAUCGCAGGCAUGGAGUAAUCUUCAUGGACCUUAUUGCAGGCAAUCGUCACAACUAUCACCGCCACCCUCUGAACCACAGAAUCAGGCAUUCUUUUAGAAGAUUUACUACUUAAAUUCUCAGUGCUAAGAUGACUUCUUAAAAACUAUAAUUUGAACGAUUGCAAAGACAAAAUCAAUGAAUGCCAGCAGAGGUGAUCAUUCCUGCUUGAAAGCAUCUGCAUAGGCUGCCUCCAAGUUAUCUUCUCUCAAGUGCUUGCAAGCACUGCAUAAGCACGAACAUGAUCAGAUAAAGCACUUCAGACCAAUGUUAUUGCAUUGAUUAUUAGGUCUUAAGAGCUUUUGGGUUACCCACUCAGCAGAAUCAAGGUACUCAAUGGCGAGGAGUCAGAAGAGGAGCAUGGGGAGUAGGCCGUGGUGGCUUCAGUAGCACGAGGCAUAGCUUCACAAAGAAGAAUUCUUGCAUUGCAUACUUUUCUAAAGUCAGAAAAAUCCAGUGUAUAUAGCAUGUUUAAAUAUGAAGAGUAUUUCAAAUCGAAGGUAUUACAAGAGCAGAAUCCUUGCAUGCUUUUCAAAAGUUAGAAAAAUUAACUAACAUAUUGUUCUUUGGCCAAAAUUUUCUGUGGCCAAAAUUGAUCCAAGUAAAUUUGGAACACCAACACAACAUUAGCAGUUGCAAACCUACAAAUCCACCAUAGCCUUUUUUAUAUAACUGCAGACGCUUGGUCUUUGUCAAACUUGAAAAAAAAAAGGCUUAAUCUCUAGCUCAUUAAGUUCAAAACUAACACUAAAACAGAAAAAAUACCAACUAUAAAAAUCAUUAAUUGUUCUUUCUUCAGCACUCAUGAUCUAGAGAGUCGCUUGGCAAAAUGGCUUAAAAACAAAAUAAAGUAGCGAAGCUUUUUACAAGUUGGCUAGGCUAUCUUGUUGGUUCUUUACAAGUUGUUGACUAUGUAAUUCCACCAUGGCGUUCUGUCAAAGGUAAGCAUGAACGUUUCAUCUUCUAUUUCUGAAGAUUAAAUGGGGCUACCACUUGACAAUGAAGCCACUCUUAGGUCUUCUGUUUCCAGUUGUCCCUACACCGUAGGAGGGCAAAGAGGUACCGGCAUUCACAUCUCAGAAAGCAAGCAUCCUGACGUGAUUUCUUCCUUUUCCUGCAAGUAGAUGUCAAUAAAAUUUAUAUUUACAAAGGCCACAUCCCGUUUAACCUUUAGUACUUAAGUUUGAAUUUCUAUUCCAGUGCUCUAUGAUGAUUACUUGAAUAAAUGUUUCAUAAGCUCUAUGUUAUUACACACUGAUGGUUUUUUCCCGGUUUGUUGUGAUUUCUGACAUUUUAAGCCAUCCCAAUUCUUGCAGCCUAAGUGUAAUUGGACAAUUCACAUCUUAUAUUAAAGUGAUAUAGACUUAUUUUUACUCGUGGCAAUGCACGAGCAUAGACCUAGGGCAUAUUCUAAACACAAAGUUCUGAAAAUUAUGACUAUAUAUUACACCCGUCGUACAAUGCACUAUGACUAUGAUUCACUAUUUAUCAUAGAAACUAAUAUAAAAGCAUCUCAAAUAUCUUCCGGCAGAAGUACCAACAUCAUAGUUGAGACUCGAUCAAAAUUAACACACCAAGGUCAGCAAGUGAAAUAUGGUGAACAUCUGGGAAGGCGUGGAAUAUAGCGCACAAUCUUCUCCACCAGGAGGAUGUCGGGGACGCUGCCGUGAGGAGGUGCGGCAGGCACAGCGCCGCCGCCAAGGCCGCCGCCAAGGCCGACGGCGUGGAUGCGUGCAGACGCGCGGUGGCCGUCGCUGCCGCCACCGCGGACGUCGAGUGGUGGUGUGCCGGCGUGAAGUGCGCCAUCCCGGCGGCAGCGGCAGCAGCAAGUGGGCGAGGGCGGCGGUGGUGCUGCGAUGGGAAACCUGCCCAGACGAUGAGAAGACCCUGCCCGGAGGUGGCCAGGCGUGGCGACGGACAGAGGAGGUGCAACCGUGGGGAGGAAUGAGGGAGGGGCAGGAGGUGGCGGCGGACUGGAUCCAGGCACGACGCGGUGGCAAGGAGACCCACUUGGAUUGGUGGACUCAGUCCACCGAGUCCGUGGAGGUGGUGCAGUGUAUGGUCUAUGGUGAACCGCGUCCACAUGAAGGGGUACGAUCUCUAUCUAAUCCAAGCUGUUGGUUUUGGAUCUAAAGGCUCUAUCUCCGUCUUCUUCCUCCUAUCCAGGUUGACGGCGACCGCACGGUGGAGCCAUGAACGGUGCAUGGCCGGAGCUUCGCCGGAAAAUGAUAGGACGGUCUACGAGCGAUGGAUUUCAAUGAGAAACACAAAAAAAGAAAGAGGAAGCGGAGGAGAUCUCAAUUUGAGGGUUACAAUGAGUCGCAGUAGUGCAGCUCAACUGGAUCGUGUGUGCCACCGCCGCUUCUACCUCCUUCGCCUGGGGAUGUCGUACCUAUUUGGCUUGGUGCAUAAAUUGAGGGCGGCGGCGGAGACGAUAUUCACGUAAAGGAGAAGAGGAACACGAAACGCUAAUUCAGCGCAGAAAUCGCGGCGUGCGCUGGGGCGUGGUUCCCCUAGGGUGCGCGUAGGGUUCGAUCGAAAGGUCAGAGAUGGAGGCGCGAUCAUCGUAGGAGGCAAGGGGCGUCUCGGAGGGGGUCGAUUGGAUCAACGGUGUAGGUGAUUAGCGCGAGCGCGUUUGCAGGUAACGGAGGGACGCUAAGCGAUCGAGGGCGAACCGAAAGAGCGGAAGAUAAACGACGUACGACAUUUUGUGUCGGUUUUAGUUUUUUUUAGCUGUAGAGAUUAGUCGCCUGAUUCUUUGAUCAACUCGACACAAGCGUCGCUGGUCUCUGCACACUUCGCCCUGGCUCCUGCUACCCUCGAUCCUGUAUCUGUGCCCCAAAAAAAAUGGUCAAUGAGAGCAAACAAUUGCGAAAGAAUGGCAGGAUGCCAGGAUGUGUCCGACAAGAUCGCUGAAAUUCCCGCUCGGCUCGCCUGAUGUCUCGUGUCGGCGCGCUCGCAAGUCGCAAUUCACAAACACGUGUGGAAACAUGAGCUUCACAAGGAAUGUAGUGUACCAUUCCUUCCACGUCGCUCGGCCCUGGGGCCGUCAAGUCGCGCCCGUUCCUCCCGUUUCCCGUCUCCGGCGACCAUGUCGGAGGCGUAUGGCCAAGAGAGAAACAGCCAGGCAGGCACGACGCAAUCGCGUCAGGGAAAAGAGAGAGUCCCCGCCGCCGAACUCUCUGUCGCCUCACGAUGCUGGCCUGAUAUCCGUGAAAAUGGUGGACACUGUUGUUAUCUUCCUUUUGGGUGGACAAUGGGCACCGCUGUUAGGCAAAAUCCAAAGAUCAGGCUGGAGAGGAAGAAUGAAACUGGAGACCGCAACGAAUGAAACUGGAGACUGCAACGUCGUACGUACGGCUCCAGACAGAGAAGCAGACUGUGAAAGUCGCCGCUUUGUCUAGUGCAUACUGUAGCUGUCGACUAUCCCUUCGUCCUAUAAUAAAUGAUUUUAAAAUUUGUCCCAAAAUACUAACUUUUUUUCUAGUUUCUCCCCCCUCGAAGUGCAAUGAUUACAUCUUUACAGGGGUAUAUAUGUAAUUUCGCACUGAAAUCGAUCUCUUCACACAAACUCUAGAAGUGCAUUUAUUUUGGGAUGGAGGGAGCGGUAACUUUCGGCUACAGGCCUACAGCCUUGCCUAGUACUCCCUCCGUCCCAAUUUAAGUGCAAUUGUAACAUUAAAAAAAGUUCCAAAUUAAACGCUACAAUAGUACAUACUCCUAGGUGCUCACCGUUCAUUGUUAGUCUGGGCACCUAUGCAUGUAGGCCCAUUUGUCAAAAAAAAAAAUCUGAAGCUCCUAGCGAGUUGGCCAUCCUCCGCCUAAUCUGAAAAGUUCUCGGUCCUUCCCACCGCUCGUUCCAGCUUCUUCCCCACCGCUCGCAUCGCGCUGCCUCGAUUCUUGCCUCGCAUCCAUCACACCGGCCCCCGGCGACACCUCAACGCUCCCUCCCCUCUCCUUCUGCGUGUGUUCUAGAUUUCCUCUCCCCUCAGAAAUCCUUCCAUCCGCGCAUUUUCCACAUACCCUAUCCCCAUCCAGUGCUCCUCCACCUCGCGUUCAUGGCCCACGGCAGUAGGUGCCCACGGUGGGAGGAAGGGGGAUGACAACAUCGUCAUGAAGCCAGGUAGCCGCAUCUACGGAGAGUGGAUCUACGUGCGCGGCCACCGAAUCAGACGGAGUGAUCGCAUGAGGUUAUGGUGCCUGCCUUCUUCAACCCCUAGUUCAUUUGCCGUUGCUUGAUGUGUGAUAAUAAAAUGAUUUUGAUUGGGAUAAUGGACAUCUACUAUGUGUGAUGGUGAAUAUUUAUGUGCUCCAAUAAAUAUUUAUCUGUGCUAAUGAAUGUUUAUGUUUAUCUGUGAGGCUGUAAGCUACUGCAGGUUGUAAGCUAAAGUUGUUAUGAUAUGUUUAUACCUUCUAUUAAGUAAUUAUUUGAUAUAUCAUCUACCAGCCCACUGGAAUCAUGAGGGGCAUGCUACUACAUGAAAGCGAUGGACUAAAAGAGGUUAUGUGCAACAUUAAUCCCUAUUGUUGUUCAGUUAAUUCACACUUUUAUUUCUCAUGUCUAAGUUUGUAGUAUAAGGUAAAUUAUUCCUAGUUGCUGACUAACACAAGAUUCUAUCUAACUUAGUUAGCAAUUUCCUUCUCAGAACUGCCCAAAGUCAAGUUCUCACAGUAGUGGUUUAUACAGCAGUAGCAAUACAAUUAGUUACUUAAAGACUCCAUCAUAUUCUCAUAUAGCUAGCGGUGAACACUAAGGCUUUUAGGCAGCAUUCCUAGUGCCUCAAACCUAUCUUUGUUCAUGUGAGGAAUCUUGUAUCUGUUUUCACCACCAUCUUUCAUCACCUCAAUCAAACAACCUUUUAGUGUUAGGAAAACCCUAUUCAAAGCGGAUGGGUCGUAUUCAUCAAAUUCUUUUUGUACAUUCUCAAUCAGCUCAUCCAUAUUCCUAGAGGUCGUACUGUAGGCUAAUGAUUGAAGAGAAGCAAAGAAUCCUAGGUCUAGUGCAUUCAUAUCCGAGGAAUUGGGAGGUUGGUUGAUGAUUUGUAUGUUCAGACCUGUCUGUGUUACAACAGCAGCAAAGUGUUCAUCAUACACAAGCACGUGAGAAGGGGCAUUAUCUUGCUGGAUCCAAAUGGUCUUUCCUGCAUCUUCUCGAGGCCAUCGUGCAACAAUAGCUGGUAGAACUUUAACAAUUAUAUACAACCUCAUAAUAUCUCGAUCUACCUUGAUAGACUUGGUGACUAGGGUUCCCCUUCCUCUGUUAUGGCUUCUUCUUUUUGCUGGUUCCUAUAUGAAAUGAAUUGAAGUUAGGAUCACAAAUGAGUACCACAAACUAAUGUAAGAAAGUGAAACAAGUGUGGUACCUUUCUGAUAAACGCCCACACUCCUAUCUUUCCAUCAAAAGUACAAUUACCUUUAUCAUCAUAUCUAGGUCUGGCCACUGCCGUCAGGAACAUGACUUUGCUAAUAGAAUUCUUAUUUUGCACGGUCCUAUACAGUUCCUCCUCUCCUGGGAGCAAAUAGUAGUUCCUGUCUUUUUUUGUGGUGUAGUACCACUUCUCGUCUAGGUGGAUGAUGUUUUCCAUUUCAAUGAACUUAGGUUCAUUUGGCAAUGUCCUUUGAUCUUACAUGAAAAUACAUCAUCGCAGCCUCUCUUUCUUGUUUGCUUCUGUCAAUAGAGGCUUUAGUGUGUUAGAGUGGCGUCGUAGUUGCCCUUGCUUGAACCACCUAUGUAGAGUGCUCUUCGUUACACCAAUGGCUGCAGCUAGAGAUCGUAUAAUAGUCCUCUUGCGUAAGAGAACACUAAGAACCUCAGAUAGAUCAGCUUGUAUUUUUUUGCGGCUACAGUUCUUAGGCUUCCUUGAACUAACAUCCACUGGUCUUCCUUGUGCACGACACUCCUUCACUCUCCGCCAAACACGUUGCACUUGAUACCUACUAACUUGUAAUAUUUCAGCAACUCUAGUUGUAGUGUUCCUUUUCAGACCCAUAUAUCAUGCAUGGCAAGUGGGCUGACUGCACCAGGCCUCCAAAAUUUUGAGGCCCCCAUGUUCAACAAGUACAACAAGAGUACAUGACCUGACCUCCCUCUGGUGGCCUUUGUUCAUGCGACUUUUGGCCUGGAGAUUCUGUUGUCGGUCCGUCCGAUUAGUAAGUCUGGCCUGCCGAUUAGAAUUCUAAUCGCUAGAUCGCGUGAGCGUCGAGGAAGUAGGAACCGCGCUUCUCGCCUUCGCCUCAGCGCCGUCGGCCACCGCAAUCGCGCCAAGUCGCCGAGUGCUCGAGUCAAUUAGAAUCAAUUAUUUUCUAUCCAUUGUUGAUCAAGCUAUUGUUUCACUUACAAAGAGGUUCGAACAAUACCAGGGGUAUGAAAAAACUUUUGGUUUUUUGUUUACUUCAAAGAAAUUAUGCUCCUUAGAUGACAAGAGUCUGUUGUCUUCUUGUGCUCGUCUUGAGGCUGCACUUAAGAGUGGUGACCAUUCUGAUAUUGAUGGCAAAGAAUUACAUGUGGAGUUAAAGUUUCUCCAAGAUUUCAUUCCAAAGGAAGACAUGGGCCCUCUUGAUAUUCGAAGUUUGUGAAAUGGAUGGUCUGUUUUCCUAAUGCCCUUGUUGCAUACAAAGUUUUGUUAACUAUUCCUGUAACAGUUGCAUCCGCAGAACGAAGCUUUUCCAAAUUGAAGUUGCUAAAGACCUACAUGCGCAGUACUAUGAAACAAGAAAGGCUAAAUGGAUUGGCGACAAUUACGCUUGAAAAUGAUGUUCUAGAGAAGAUUAAGUAUGAAGAUAUAAUUGAAGAUUUUAUUUCGAAGAAUACUAGAUGAAUGAUGCUUUUUAAUAGAAGCUAAGAAGUUAUCAGUAAGAUUCGUCAUUUAAUCAUUUUGUACGAAUUCUUAUGGUAUUACAUGAGGAAGUCUACGUGCACUUUGGCUAUUUGCAUUUUAUAAAUAUAGGCCCCACUUUAUGUUUUGCACCAGGGCCACAAAAACGUAGGUACGGGCCUGUUCCUUUUUAAUCUUCCAUGCAUACUUCUCUUGAGCAAUGCUGCAUAAUUUUCAUGCCUUCCAGUUUCUGUCAAAUUCCUGGACGGAUAUGAAAUAUUUUUAUUUGCAUGGUCAUGUUCAAAAUCUGAGUCUUCUAAUUCAUCUUCAUAAAGGCUACGUCUGCAGUAUCAGCAUCCACACCAUAGUCUUGCAUGUACUCGAUCAUGUCUGCAUAAAAAAAGUGAUAAGUUCUUCUACCUAAUACUGUAGCCCAAAGGUUACUUGUUUGACUCCUUUCUAAUGAAUGUGCCACAUUAUAAAAUGCUUGAUAGUCUUGGUGGACUGAUAUAAUUAAGAGAACAUAUUACCUUCACUUGGUUGUUGCAGCUCAGAAGGAUCAACAUUGAGAUCUAUUCCAUGCAUAGCAACCUGCUCAUCUUCAUGAAAGGCUACGUCUGCAGUAUCAGCAUCCACACCAUAGUCUUGCAUGUACUCCAUCAUGUCUACAAUGAAAAAAGGUGAUCAGUUCUUCAACUUAAUACUUACUUGUUGGACCCCUUUCUAAUGAAUGUGCCACAUUAUAAAAUGAUUGGUAGUUUUGGUGGACUCACAUUAUUAAGAGAACACAUUACCUUCAUUUGGUUGUUGCAGCUUAGAAGCAUCAACAUUGAGAUCUAUUCCAUGCAUAGCAACCUGCUCAUCUUCAUGGAGAAGAUGGGACUAAGCUUCUUCAAGCCGGUGAACUUCAUCUUGCAGGACAUGGACUUCAUCUGCUUGCUCAUCCAGUGGUUCUCCAUUUAGAUCAGGUAAGCAAUGUUCAGCUACUUCAUCUGGUAUUGUGUUUAGAUCAAUGACCAUGGUUGAUGGUGAAGUGGAUUGAUCAAUGGUCAUGGUUGAUGGUGAAGUGGAUUGCAGGCUGGAAUGGAUGAUUUGGAGCACGUGAUGUGCUUAUAUAGUGGGGCAGUGCUACUAUGGUGCACGGCGUUUAAAUUUUGAAUGUCUAUGUAAUGGCGCCACUUUUCUCUUUGUAAUGGUUCUAGACUGGUGUUAUUUUUCUCUUCUGGUAAAUUCUGGAGUGUAAACGUGGCACACAACUGGCUUACGUUUAUUUUGAUGCUGGAGUGUAAAUGUGGCACACAACUGGCUUUCAAGUUUGUUUUCAAAUUAUGCAAUCAUUAAUGCUACUUUGAGUCCAUCCAUAACCGGUAAUAAUGUCAUUUGCUAUCCCCUUCUUAAAAUGCACUAUAUUGGUACGGAGGGAGUACAUGGACACGCAUUGACUUGCUCAGAGUCAUUUUUUAUACAGUUUCUCCGAGUGCUCCCGUCAUCCCUCUCUAAUCAGAAAAACUGCGCCAAACUACCACCACACAAGUGUUCCACCUACUCCACGCCGGCAGGCGGGGCCCGAACAGAGAGGCAAACGCAUCACGGCAGGAAGAGAUGGAUCUCCCGGCCGCCGAGCCGAAGCGAGGAGGAAAAAGAAGCGGAGGCAGCAGCGCGAUGACGUCGCGGGGAGAGAGACCCGUGAGGUCACCACAGGGGGACGCCUUUUUGACGACUGACACGGCCUCUCUCGCCUGGCGACUGGCGAGCGCGCCAGGCCAUCGGUUGUCCGAGGAAUAGCCGCGUCGGCGUCGUCGGUCUCUGGCUGUUCUCUGCCGGGCUCCGCUGACAGCUGACAGGCAGGCCGCCCGCGCCGGGAGAAAGUUCCCUGCGCGGCCCCUUCCUUUUCAGAUCGAAAGGAGGGGCGUCAGGCACCCGCGGUUCCGGCGAGAUUCGAAUUCGAGUGCUGCCGGCCUGCCAUGGUCCUUGUGGGUUGUGGUGGUAUGUGGGCGAGGGUUUUGAGCCUCUACGUAUGGCUUCUUGAUAAUUGAUUCGUACGUAGUUGCGAGUGCAAAUCCAAUUGAAUGCUCGCUUUUCUUUGCGCGUUUCGAUCCGUCGCCAUCACCGAGAAUGUGUUGGCCCCCUUGAAUCGAACAAAGGUGUGACCUCGUGUCAUGUGAUCGGUGCCAACGAGAACCUAUACCUGGAGUUAGGAUUGGAUGCUCGGAGCAAGGUCCUAUGCAACAAUAAUUUCGUCACAGCAUGAUUCUUCUUCCUUGCAAGGAAACAACCCAUUUUUUUUUUAAAAAAAAGAAGGAAUCGCUGCUUGUGGUGGGUGGGUCACAGCUCACAACGUUUUUGUUUGCCAUAGGAUUUUACCACGAGUCAAAAAGCAGAAUGUGUCUCAAUAUACACCUUUCGAUUGGCUGUCCACUGCGUCAACGCAAGUUCCAAUGCGAUUUAUUGCUACUUCUUAAAUUCCCUUAAAAACGCCCAUAAAAUGUCGGUGUAUCCAGUGUGGAAAAAUAAAAUAGGCGCGGCCAGCGAAGCCAGCCAGCCACGACUCACGCGACCCGAACCCGACCCGUUUUUAACCCCGCCGGCCGGGGAAAUGGCCCGUCCCCCUCCAGGCCCUCCUCCCCUCUCCCUCUUCGUCGCCCCGGCCGAGAGGGGGGGCGCAAGCGCGACCCCCAAUUCCGCCGCCUCCGGCCGCCAUCGCCGCGGCCGGGGACCCCUCGUUGCCUCGGCUCGCCCAAUCCGAGCACGGACGCCGCGCGGUCCCUCCCUCCCUGCCCCGUCCUCCCUCCGCCGGACCCUCCACCCGACGCGGCGCGAGCGCGGGGCUCCCUGGUCCGUUGUUGCUCGUGACGGCGCCCGAAGCGCCGCUCCGCUCUCGGGAGUCUAGUGCUGACGGAGAUCCGUCGGGGGUCGGGACGAGCUCUUCCCGUGCUGGUAAGUAAUUGCUCCGAGUAAUUUCUCGUUCGCUCGCAUGGAUUCCUUUGCUCUUAUUUGGAGCAAUCGAACCCAGAUCCUUCGUUCUCUGCACUCGGUUCCUUGUGGACUUUGUGCUGCAUGGUAAACUACGGAUUAGAGUUGGGCGCACGAUUGGGUUGGUUGCGAGAUCGACAUUAAUUGUGCGUUCAUUUUCUACGUAAGUUUUGGGCGAAUUAGAGUUCCUAGUGAUUCCCCUAUCCCCGAUUGCCCCAGGUGAAAUUCUCCUUGAAUUUGGUAUUCCCGGAUUUUGUUCCUAGCGAUUCCCCUGUCCCAGAUUGUCAGUUGCAGUUUAAUUAUAGUUGUAGUCGAGUUUAUGUUCAGCUUAUUCCUAUUCUAGCUGUCUUCAGUAGGAGCUCCGCAUUUUUCUUUUCUUUUCUUUUUUUCUUUUUUGGGCACAUAACCUUUUGAUUUAUAGUUGGAUUUAUAUUUAAGCGGCAUAUAUUCAACCGGUCAAUUUCUGAACAUGGAUGACUUUGGCUUAUUUAUGUUAUUGAUUGAUAUUAGGAAGGUUUGUUAACAUCUCUUCGAGAUCUUCUGGUUUGUUUUUGUAGAAUUUCAAAUUUCAAGUGAAACUGUAUGUACUUGUUCUGUCUGCUGGUAAAUAUAUUUGUAGGGAUGCAAAACCCUCUGGUUUGGUACUCUCAGGACAUUUCGGUGUGGAAUCAGGGAAUAGAUGAAACGCUCAUAUCAUAUUAGAUUCUACUGUCUGUCAUUGGUCUGCUGACCAUACAUACCAAUACUGUCCUCAGUGACAAACAUCUCCAUGAGAUUGAAGAAUGAAAUAUCUGUCCCAUUUGUUAGGCUUAAACCUCCUCCUAAUAUGUUUUCUUGUUAACGUUAUUGGGUUAGUGUUACCUUCCUUAAAUCCUUAAGACCAUCUCAUAGCAAAUGCAUAAAUGUUUUCUGAACACGAAGAGGGAAAAAACAUCGACCAAGGAUGUUGAUAAUUUUAAUCCAUGCAUUUUGUGUGAUUCGGUGGAGGGCACAAUGUUGAGAAAUUUAUUUAUUGUUUUUCUACUGCCUACCAUGCUAUUAGUUGAUCCAGAAGUCUCCAUAUUCCAGUAUACUAGUGACUGUGUCGAUCUUAGAAGUAGAAUUUGUGGCCGUGGAACAUAUUUUGAUUUUGGUCCUGUGAAGUUUACUUACUUCUGUUUGUACAUAUUGUAUCUUUUGUUUAUUUAUUAAGCUGCUCUUGCAGGGGAAGCAGAUUCGCUAGAUAAUUCUUAUCAUGAUUGUAUUUGUGUUCCGUUACAGGAUUUUUGUUAAUAAUGGGAGAGAAUAAAUGGAUGGGCAAAAGAUGGGAGGACAUGGACACUGAUGUCCUUGUGAAGAUAUUCAAGGAAUUAAAUUUGGUUGAGUUGUCACCAGUUUCCCAAGUUUGUCGAUUGUGGCGUUUGGCCUGUUCAGAUCCACUUAUUUGGGGCACUCUUGACUUUGGAUUGCUAAAAUCCAAUUUUAUUCAGACAAGAGCAUCACCAUAUAUUUGGGUUGAUGAUAGGUCUGACAAGAGACUUGCAAGGAUACUACGGGUGGCUAUGGCAGUUAGCUGUGGGAAUGUCAACUGCAUGAUAUUCCAUUACAAUUUGUACAUGAAAGAUGAGCACCUUCAUUUCAUCUCGGAAAGGUAACAACUAACAAAACCCUUCAAGUUUCAUCAAUGCUGUAGUCCCACAGUCCUAUAUGUGUGUCAUACCUCACAUGUAACUUAUUAAUCCUGCAAGGAUUUUGAACACAAUAGUUGAACUACAUCUUAUGGCUUUCUGCACAGAUGAGUGCUUGUAGCUAGUUAGCGCAGCGGUGAUAUGAGUUCUGCAGUUAAAUCACACAUAAAUAUGAAUGUGUUAUCCAAAGUAGAUAUUCUAUUUUUCUAACUAUUCUUUCAUGCAUUUAUUGUGUUAGCAACUUUGGAUAGCUGCUAUGUCCCAGCCAUUCAAACUAGAAGGGGUCUAGGGAAUGCUGUUAGAGACUUAGAAUACUCUUAAAGUUGAGAAUCGACUCCUCUUUUUUUUUGGGUACAUUAAUCUUAUGAUUAUAUCUCGAGAAAACUCCUGAUGUUUGAGUUUUUGUGGUCUCUCACUUUGCGUUGAAGAGGCUAACACUAUAAUUUUGCCUGAUGUCUAGCAGGUCUCCUCACCUAAAACGAUUGGUUAUGCCAGCAUGGAACCGCAUCACCAAAGUGGGAAUAUGCCAAGCUAUCCAAAGGUGGCAAGAGCUGGAAUCCUUGACAAUGCCUACUAUCGGACAUCCUCCGUAUAUUAUGGAAGAGAUAGGCAGAAGCUGCAAGAAUUUCACAGAACUUAAGAUCAUGGGCUCAUUUGAUCACAAUUUUGCCUCUGCGAUCUCACAGUUCCUUCCAAAGCUGAAGGUUUUGAGCCUUCGUUGCUCGAAAGUGAACAUGGAUGCACUGCAAUCUUUACUGCACAAGAUGGAAUAUCUUGAGGUUCUGAAUAUUUCCCACUGCCUGCUGUUGGUCGUUGCGGCAAACGGGCGGAAGCAAGUGGUUCAUGAGCUGGAUGGCCAAAUUCUCGAGAGAGCUUCACGGCUGCGUGAAUUCCAUUAUUGCCAGAGCAGGUCAUGCAUCACAUGCCAACGGAUGGUGGUGGAUGAAGGCAUCAUGCGCUGGUACAGAUACGAGGAUUGGUUUUGGCGUCGAGAUGAGGUCAGGUCCCUUGAUCUGCAAGAUUAUGGGAAGCUCUUUGAUGCUGGUUGCGAGAGGAUGACGUCCGUGGAGUAGAUGGCUAGUCCGGGUAUAAAAUCCGCCUCAGUGUAGAAACCUGUUGAUCUGGCAUUCGUAAACCAUAACAUAGCAAGCACCGAGUUGUAACCGUAGAUAAAUAAUGUUGACAGUAAUGUCAGUGAAUGUGUAGCUUGUGCUGUAAAUCCAUGAAUAGUUCGUCAUGUUUGAAUGUGGUUGUGAUAUUCUCAAUGGUGACUGCAACAGUAGAGUUUUACCCUAUGCUUAUGAUGUUGCAUGGAUGCCAGCUGAUUGUACAUUGGUUUUAUGCAUGGAAGGCCUUUUGCUAGUUGGAAGCAACGAGUUCCGUGGUGGUUCUUUUACCUAGAAGUUCGGUCCCUUUUGGGCGCCUUGAAUUGUCGUUAGAAUUUUAUUCUAACGGUCAUUUUGAUCAGAACUGGGGCUGGUUUUACAAUUGAACGGCUUGUUCCGACUUUUUUGUUUUUUUGUCCUUUUCGCGAAAAAAUCUCACAAAUAGGUCCCUGGCGAAACCAAUUCCGAAAAUGGACCCUCAGCUUGGCGCCAGGAUGGCUGGCGUCAGGAUGGCUGGCGCCAAGGUAUAACGUCUUGGCGCCAGCCGUCCUGGCGCCAAGGUCCCUCCGCCGUGCCUCCGACGUGGCGCCGUGGACGCUGACGUGGCCCGAGGCUUGGCGCCAAGAUCCAUGGCGCCAAGCCCCCUACCACAUAUAACACCCCUUCUUCCUGCCCGAGAGUUCCUCCCUCGUUAUUCUCUACUCUCUCAGGUUUUUACUCUCCUUACUUUGCCCUAGACUACGAAUCGACAUUGUAGCUUAGGAAACUUUCAUUUGAUCCGUGGAUCCUGAAGAGCAAGGUAUCCUCUCUCCGUCGUACCUUUUUUUCACAUCGAUUCGUCUUGCAUUUUUGAACUUAGGGUUUCAUGCAAAUGUAGGAUGCCGAGGCGUGGAAAAGCUAAGAAACUAAGGUAAUCUCAACGCCCGUAGUUAUGUUAUGUACUCAUUGUUGUGGAUGAAAUGAAAAAACCUUAAUUGUAGGUUUAUUCUUAAGUGCGUUUGAUUCAUAGAACCAAAUAAACAAAAUUGUAGUUAUGGCGCAAAGAAGACCGGAAAUGCGUUCGAUCCAUUGCCUCUGCCAAGUGGUGUUCCAGUGCCGAUGUGCUUUUGCGGCGAUCCUUGCAAGGUAGCCAAGUCCGAAGAACAUGCCACGUAUAGGCAGAGGUAUUGGAUGUGUUCCAACUUUGCGUUUGAACCUACACUUCGUCAGCGCCGCAUUAACAUGUUGGUAAGGAAAUGUUGUUGUCUUAUAAUUAUUGUCCAUAAUUUUUUUGUUUUAUAACAAUUGCAUUUGUUGUAGACCCCUCCACCGCUAUGUGAUUUUGAGCAGUGGAUCGACACUGAGAUCGAUCCUGAAGACAAGGAGUUUUUGGAGUAUAUGAUGCGCUGGGAUGCAGAGAGGAAGGAGGUGUACGAGAAGAGGCUCGUAGAGGAGGCUGCGGAAAAGGAGCACAAGGAAGAGGAGGAAAGGAGGCGGGUUGCUGCGAAUAGGGAGGAGAGAGAGAAGAAGCUUGAGCGGGCACGCCGAGCGAAAGCAGCGGUUGAAGAGAAUCCCGAUGCCUUAAGGAAGAGAAAGUGGCCUCGUUGCACUCAGUAGCCAUAUUUAGGUUCUAGUUCUAUGGUUUAUUUACAAACAAUAUUUUCUACUGUGAGACUUUUAUUAUGUUGUCAUGUAAUAAUGCACUUUAAGUAAGGACACGCAAUUUGUAGACGAUAUAUGUUCAUUUUGCGAUGUAAUGCAUUUCGAAGUCGUAGUCUACUGAAAUAUCCGUAGAAAAUAAAAAUGGUACUUGUUAGCGAAAUUUCAGCAGAAUUUCCCCUACUUGUUGAUGCAAUCCAUACAAAAUUACGAGAUGAAUAGUGAAUAUAAAUACAAGCAUAGAAGCAUAGAAGCAUAUGACACAAGCAUAUGACACAUUCAGAAUAGAAUCCACAAUAGUUCAGAAUGAAAGUCCAUAUAUAUACAAAUAGUCCAUAUGAUACAAAGUUCGCAAUCAGAAUCGUCACUGCCUCCUAGUCUUACCCUUACCCUUGUGACCAAGGGCGUCGGUGCCUGGAGUGUAAGGAGAACGUGGACGACGUAAUCUAGUGCCCCCUACAACCUGUGUAGGCUGAGUCAAGGGAGCCUCCUGGAGCUGAGACGGGCCAAUCUCCUCGGCCCUCUGCUCAUCGUCGUCGUCAUCGUCGUCGUCGUCGACUUCCUCGGAUGCAAUUGAUUUGGAACCUGAGGGGCCUUGGCUGGACGUACCGACGCCUCCUUCGCGCAGGGAUGGAACGUGCACGUCUCGCGUCGUGGCAGUCCUGCAACCACAACGAGCAGCGGCACGGCGAAGCCGAUUUGACAAUCGCUGCAGUAGUAAAAACAAGUUACACAAAUGAAGAAUGUAACGUAUUAAUAAAGUAUUAGAAAGAAUAAUUUGAGACUUACCUCUAGGAAGCUCCCAAUCUCGGGGUCCCUAACUCGUGGACGGAUAUGCUCUAUAUCUCUAACCGAGCUUUGUAGGGUACGCCCCUGCAACAAAUGACUAAGUCACUAAAGCAAUAAAUGACUAAGUCACUAAAUGACUAAAUGAUUAAGUUAGAUGAUCACUAAGUCCUUAUCUAACUAACUAAAUCUGUAAGUAACUUAACAUAGAACAUAGAAAAGUGAAGCAAUUGUCUUACCAUCCUAUCCAGGAUUGGUCCUGCCUCCACCUGCCUUCCCGCACGAGUACUCUGAUCGUACACUGUGUCUUCAUCGUCGGAUGACUGGAUAUCGGCGUAGUCAUCUUGCGUCCACGCUUCCCUCAGCCUGUGCCGCGUCGCACCAUGGUACCAGCUCUGGUAUUGUCUGUACGCACUGUUUGUGUGCGGCUCGUUGUUCUCGUCCACGUUCUCCUCGAACAGGUCCCAUUCCUGAAUGUAUGCGUGGUGGAACGCGGCCCACUCGGAGACCUUCCUUUUCUUCUUUCGAUCCACGCUGCACGUCACGUUACACGUUACUGUUAGCCAAAAUUUAGUUAAUAGUAUUGAAAUAUAUGAAAUAGGAAAAGACUUACUUGUGUAACUCUAUACUAGUCGAGGUCGCCUGUGGUGGCCAAAUCUGCCUCAUCCCAAAUUGACGUGCGACUCGAUGUGGCAGGUGGUACUCGACAGCAUAGAAGCAAAUAAGAGGGCACACCAUCCUAUAAAUAUCAUCGUCCGUCGCACACAUGAAGCUAAGGGGAAAAGGAAGUGGAUCGUCUCCGUCGUAAGGCUGCCAAUUUACCUGCAAAAUUUGAACCAAAAACGUUAGUUGUUAUACUAAAAGAUUACAAAACAAUUCUAAAAAAAAUCACUUACACUAUGAGCAGUGAGCGCGUCUAUCUCGUUGAUGUAAUCAAGGUACGCGCGGUCCAACCUCGUAUGGCUAACCUUAACCUGAUCCCAAAUAUAUGCCCAUGUCGGCUGUCGUCUCGGCGGCUCACCUGGGAACCACGGUCGACGCGGCAUAAUCUCGGGCCGACCAACAGGAAGACGGGACCACAUCCAUAAUUGCAACAGGUAGACACACCCACCAACUGACGGGGAGCCCGUAGUCCGACGGCACGCCUCGCACAGCUGCCGGUAUAGAAAGCACAACACAGCUGAUCCCCAGCUGUAAAAACCAGCCUGGUGCCAGUCAGUGAGGCAGUGGAUCCACAUCCAAGACGCUGUGUCACCUGUAGCGUCUGGGAAAAGAACACAGGCAAAGAGGUGUAGUAUCCACGCCCUGCAGUAGUGCCCAACUGUCUCAACAUCCGCGUCCUGGGGACAGUGGCCGAAGUGUUCCCGCAGCCAUGAGAUUAGCACUCCAGAUGUGCGAGUCCCCUGCUCCUCAACCUCUCGCCUCAGGAAGGCUGCGACUCGUGCUCUCCAACCAUCUGAGACGCACGGCCCAUUGACUGGCUGGCCCCGAAUCGACAGACCCAGCAUCUUCUGACAGUCCUGUAAGGUCACUGUCAUCUCUCUGAACGGGAGGUGAAAGCUGUGAGUCUCGGGUCGCCACCUACAUUUCGCCAGAUUAUUAUUUGAUAACAUGUAAAGACAUAACAAAAUGAAUAUGAUUAGUGGUAACAGUACCUGUCAACCAACGCAGUUAUAGCCGCUGAAUUGAACUUGGGCAUCCCACGACGAACCUGAUACGAGAUGACAUCUAGGCCAGCCAUCUGUAGCAAAGGAGUGUAGCGGUCGUCGUACUGCAGCACCACAAACCCAUCAUGAGCUCUAGAACGAAGGAGCGGAAGGACCUGCAUGCAAAUAAACCGAGUCAGAGAUUUCAUAGGACACAAGACGUGGACGCUCGCAAAGCUUUAAUCAUGAAUUGUAAAUUAUUACCUGCCCUCCCGCUAUAAGACGACCUCGGUGGGUCUGGUCGUAAGCCUGGUCUAGAAGGUGGAAGUGCGCCAUCCUACAAAAAGGCAAAAAGAAAUAAGAUUAGUAAACAAUAAAUCAUGAAGUUAGAGAUGUAGAAACACAACCUGUAUGAAUAAAACACAUAUCAAGUAACGAAAAGAGCUACUAGUCGCACCUCACUAAUUUGCCAACGGCAAGUGCGUGAAUUAUGACCCAAUCUGCCGCACUUGCCGCACUCGUUCUGUUCUGGAUCAGCAAGAAAUGGUGUUGCUCUACCACGCCUCGUUCUUCCGGAUACCUGAUCCAUAGUCAUGUUAUGCCUCGUCCGCUUCCUUGUUCCACGUUUGUUCCAACGGUAUGCAGGAUCCGCAACAUAUUUUGGCCCAUCAUACGGAGGCCACUCUCUAGGAUCCCGGAAAGGCACGAAGCGGGGGCUCCAUGUCCGCACAAGGUUGCUUACGCUGAACUCAUGUGGUAUCAUGCUCUCGAUAUCAAAAUUGCGAUGCCUAGCUGCUGCCACCAAAUGAGAACAUACGAAGUGGUACUGCCUUGGCCUACCACAAGUGCACUUGAAAUCUCGGAGAACUACCAAAUGUAUCCUCGACUCUCGGAUCUCACCGUCGGACGUUGUACCGCCCCUAUGCUCCACCUGAUAAGUCCCUGAGCCGAGAUCAAAACAUUGCACCUCAUGUGUGGAAUCCCUUUCAUUUGCAAUGAUGAGAUGUCUCUUUGGUUUUUCAGCCCAUCUCUCCCCAGCAACCUGCAACGCUUCUGCUUUUGCGUGUCUUUCAUUGAACCACGCAACAAGCCUGUAGAAGGUGAAUUCAACGAUUGCGUUCACAGGCAUACCACGUAUCCCCAAUAACAACUUAUUGAAUGACUCGGCCAUGUUACUGCACUGAAACUCGUACCUCCAACCACCGGCGUCGUGAGAUCUAGUCCACUUAUCUAAAUCUCUCAUCAAACCAGCGAGCCAUUGUCGACCUUCUGCAUUUGUUGCGGUCCUUACCUGCUCCAAUUUGCGCUGAAAGUAAUAGUCCUCAAGCUGACGUGCUGCAACUUGAAACAGAUCAAAAUUAUCCUUCACACCAUCCUUCCGAAGAAGGUUCUCCGCAAGGUGCCGAGUGCACCAACGAUGAUGCAAAGGUGCAUAACCCUCUAUCUGUUCUUGCACAGCAUGAAGUAUGCCCUGAUGCCUAUCGGAUAUGACGCCAACCUCCCUACCAGGACCAACCACAUGUAUCCGGACUAGUCUUAAGAACCACCCCCAACUGUCAUUGUUCUCCCUCUCAACCAAUGCAAAUGCCAAAGGAACCAACAUAUUGUUCGUGUCACAAGAUAUGGCUAUAAGAAGUGUGCCUCUAUAUUUGCCAAUCAAAAACGUACCAUCAAUAGAGAAAACAGGACGACAGUGCCUAAAGGCUUCCACAGACUGAGGGAAGCACCAGAACGCACGCCCGAAUAUCUGUCUCCCGUCCUUCCAAGCAUUUGGCUUUGGGAUGUACUCAUAAUGCAUGCCUGGAUUCACCGCUUUAAUUGCAUUAAAAAGCACUGGCAGCUCCUCGUAUCCAGACUCCCAAUCCCCAUAAAUCAUCCUCCACGCUCGCUGCUUAGCCCUCCAAGCUUUACCAUAAGUUAUCACAUAUCCUCCAUAAAUCUCCUCAGCAGUUCUUAUAAUUGUUCUCACUUUCAUGUUCGGUUGUUCCUUCAAUAUUCCCAUCAACCGCUUCGCAAUGAGGGUAGAUGUUAGCUGCGGAUGUCUCACUGUAAGCUCAUGGUCAGCACAAUUGUGUGGACCGACAACUUUUGUGAUCUUCCACUUCCCGGUGAUAUUUUGCUUUCUUGCACAAACCCUCCAUGGACACCGUUCCUUGUCACACACAACUGUGUAACGGCGCUCCGCAUAUGAAUGCAACACUUUGUACGGUCUCUUCCGUAUCACCGCAAAAGCUUGCAACCAUCUCUUCAAUGCGGGAAGAUCCUUAAAUACCCUACCCUCCUCAAUAACCAUAUUAGGACCAGCUUCAGGAGCUUCUAGGAGCUCAUCAUCACGUCCUUCUGCAAACGCCUGAUCGGAAAGACUCAGGUCGCUAAACUCGUUAACUAUCGGAUCACGACGUCCGGGGAAUAUACGCCUGAACAUCUCAAUAUCACUCUCUGUCAUCUCUCCAACAGGACGAUCAUCAUCAGAAUCAAGAUCCACUCCCAUCUCGUAUGCAUCUUCAUCAUUCAAAAUUUCAACACUAUUAGAGCCACGCAAUCCAUCUCCACAUUGCACUUGCGCAUCAACUAGAGGCACAUCCACAUUUUCUGGAAUAUCUCCUGCGCCAUCAAGUACAAAUAUGAGUAAAGAAUAAGUGGAUGGAACAAAUGGAUUAUCUCUCAUCAAUAGAAACCGGUUAGACACUUACUCGGAUCAUUCUGAGUGAAAAGAAACUCAUUAGGAGAGUCCGCCACAUCAUCAACAAUCCGACAACCAUGGCCAACUACUUCAUUAGGGGCAGAUUCAGCAUUGGGAAUAGUAGGUGCAACAUCCACAUCCAUAACAGGUUCUGGGACGGGAGGAUCGAAAUGUGCCCGUUCACCCAUUGGUCGGGAAAACCGACGAGGAUUUCGAUCAACUCUCACCGGACGAACAACCACUUCAACACUUGGGAAAUGACCAUUCAUAACCGUCCUCACAUAUUUCUCCCACUGACCUGCACACCGAAUUGGGACCAUCUUCCUUUGAAUGUUGAGAGGGGAACCUAGGUGAAGUAUGCCCUCGACUGUGAUUUCAUCAUUUUCAUGACAAUGUAACUCCUCCCGAGCCCUAGCAACCAACUCACUAAACGAUGGUUUCUCAUCGAAUAUGACAACCUCGCACUGCAUGCCAACAAACUUAACACAUCCAUAUUCAUCCCUUUCCACAGUGCCUCCGUAAUAUAUGCUCACUACGUUCUCCAUCUAGUAUAUCAAUAUAAUGACGCACAAUUCAUUUAGUCCAUAAUAAAUUAAACAUUCUAAGUCUAGUAUGAAAUCAGAUAGUAUCAAUUGACUACUAACUAGUAAAUACAACUAACUAACUAUGUCACAUAUACUAACUAACUAUGUCACCUAAUAUGUACAUACGUACUUACCUAUACAACUACUUAACUAAAUAUCGUAAUAACUAGUUUACUAUGCUAUAAGUUAUCAUAUCUAACAAUUAUAUCUAUCUGUCAACUUAUCUAUCUACCUAUUUUAUCUAACAAUUCUACCUACCUAUCUAAAUUUUACCUAACUACUAUGCUAUUAGUUAUCAUAUCUAACAAUUAUAUCUAUCUGUCAACUUAUCUAUCUACCUAUUUUAUCUAACAAUUCUACCUACCUAUCUAAAUUUUACCUAACUAUUCUAAUUUAUCAAUAUUACUAUCUAUCUACAUUAUACAACAAUUAUACAACAACUAAUACCUUCGAUCGGCCGGGAGCGGGCACACAACGGGGGGCGGCCGGCCACAGUCCACGGCGGGCGCUGGAGCCCGGCCGGGGGGCACCGGCGAGCGGGGAGCCCGGCCGGGGGGCGGCCCUCCGGGCGGGGCGGCCGGGCGGGCGCGCGGGGCCGCCGGGCGGGCGCCGGGCGGGCGCCGGGCGGGGCGCCGGGGCCGCCGGGAGGGGCGGCACGUCGGGCGGGCGCCGGGAGGGGCGCCGGGGCCGCCGGGCGGGGCGGCGCGUCGGGCGGGCGCCGGGGCCGCCGGGAGGGGCGGCGUGUCGGGCGGGCGCCGGGCGGGGCGGCGCGGUGGACGACUACGGAGCGGGCGGGCCGGCACGAGAUGUGAGCGAGAUGCAAAAUCAAACGGCGCAAAAGGAAGGGGGCCCGUUAUGGUUGAAGGCUUGGCGCCACAGAUCUUAGCGCCGAGGCCUGGCGCCGAGCCUUGGCGCCACAGAUCUUGGCGCCGAGGCUCGGCGCCAUGGAUCUUGGCGCCAAGCCUCGGGCCACGUCAGCGUCCACGGCGCCACGUCGGAGGCACGGCGGAGGGACCUUGGCGCCAGGACGGCUGGCGCCAAAACGUUAUACCUUGGCGCCAGCCAUCCUGGCGCCAAGCUGAGGGUCCAUUUUCGGAAUUGGUUUCGCCAGGGGUCUAUUUGUGAGAUUUUUUCGCGGAAUUGGUUCCAUGUUUUUCCCUAUCUCCAGGGGGUGUUUGGAUACUAUAUGUUAAAUUUUAGCAGUGUCACAUUGGAUGUUCGGAUACUACUAAUGAGGAGUAAACAUGAGCUAAUUAUAAAACUAAUUGCAGAACCCCUAUACUAGUUCAUGAGACGAAUCUAUUAAGCCUAAUUAAUCCAUCAUUAGCAAAUGGUUACUGUAGCACCACAUUGUCAAAUCAUGGACUAAUUAGGCUUAAUAGAUUUGUCUCGCGAAUUAGACUCCAUCUGUGCAAUUAGUUUUGUAAUUAGCUUAUAUUUAAUAAGCCUAAUUAGCAUCCAACGUCCGAUCAAACGGGACCCUAGUUAUCGUCUGAGGUUAUAUAAAUUUUUUGUAGCUGAUUGAAAAUUUGAAAUUAUUGAUUGAUGAUUCCCCUUGUUGUUAGCAACAUCAUCAAUAAUAGGCCAAGAAACAAAUAGAUAGCAUCACUCCUUUUCAAAAGCAGCCACUCGUUGUUAGCAACAUCGUCAAUGAAUUAGUGAGGUGGCCAAGUCGUUAUCGUUAUCAAUAAGCUAAGUGCAUCCGCACACGGCACACUUAAAUAAUAGGCAUAUCUAAAACGUGUUUGACAUUUUUCUAAGGAGGUUCGACAAGUACAAAAGUAUUCCCUCCGUCCCAAAUUACUAUUCAUUUUGACUUUUCUAGAUAUAAAUUUUUUACUGCGUAUCUUGACAUAAUAUAUAUAGGUGCAUAGUAAAAGUUAUAUAUCUAAAAAGUCAAAAUAAUAGUAAUUUGGGAUGGAGGGAGUAUUGACUAAAGGGGCAACGUUUAGUCGAUAUGUGUAUAUGGCGAAAGCAAAGCAUUCAGUUUUCAUGACUGAAGUACUUGACAUCGGUGUGCUCCCAACCCUUGUGAUAAUUGAAUAUGCUGAGCAUAUGUGACAUAACAUGAUAUCUAAAGUACUUUAUUUCUCCUUGUCUAUCCUUUGGAUGUAGUGCUUUUUGUAAGAGGUCAACGGUGGAAUGAGCUUAGCGUUCCCACCUGAGAUUUAAUGAUAAAAAAAACUCAAAGUAAAAUUGGCAAAAGUUUACGCAACGGUUUUGAAUACUUGCUCUAACAUCAGAAAAGUUGUGUUGUGACAACUGACAAGGAAUGGAGGUAUAAAGAGAGAUGGGAGAGCAAAUGCAUUUUUUUUUAUCCGAUUAGCAUGUCAUGACUCAUGAUGUGGUGUGUAAUGACGUGCAUGCAAAUGAUUCAAUUCAACAAGCGCCAGCCCGAGCUCACAGUAUUCAUCUUCUUCCACGCGCAUCGCCACACUCACAGCGGACACACAAACGAUGCGCAGAACAUCCAGGGAAACAGGGCGGCACCACGGGUUCACAAGACCGCGCUUGUAUUGUUUCGUCCGCGUAACCGCGUUCAUCUUCAUCGCCAGUGAACAACGACGUGCUCCAGCUGUUCCCUCGCGGCCUCGCAACCAAAAAAAAAAGUGCUCCAGCGUGCUGCGUACGUACCGCCGUGUGUGUAUGCGCCACGGUGCUCCUCCCUUUCGGCGAACCAAAGCCAGAAGCCCAGAACUAGCAGCGGCACGCAUCGUCGCAACCUCAUUGCGCGCAUCAGCUGGCAGCAGCGCACGGCGGGCGGCCAGUGCUUGCUGCCAGCUUCCUCGUCCCGUUCAAGAACGCCGGUGCGCGAGGACGGCGUUGCCGUGGGCCGUGCCCAUCUGCCUGUCCAGCUUCGCGGCCAUGGAAAGGUUCGUGGAGGAGAAAUGGGCGAGCUCCUCCGCCCACCCAUCGACGCCGCGGCGGCGUCUCCCAUCGUCAGGUCCGCCGCCCCCUCCCAAGUCUGAACUGGCCGAGCGGACGUAACGCGUUUGAUCGAAUAGCCGACGUCCUCAUUUGUUUCACAAAAGAAAAGUUCAAUUCUUUGGGCUGGGCUGCCGUUGUGCUACUUGUCGGUCAAUGGGCUUUUCCCCCUUGUGUCUGGUCUCAAAAAGGACUUGCUGCUCCUCUUUAAAAAAAAGAAACAGAAAAGACUUGCUGCCAGGUCAGUUCGAAACAGCGAGAGCCGAAGCUGCCGACGGCGACAUGCAUGACAGACAUGGGACCGUAUAAAUGAGAGCAUGUUUGUUUCUUUAGCACCUCAAAAUUCCUGUCACAUCGAAUGUUUAGAUACUAAUUAGGAGUAUUAAAUAUAGGCUAAUUACAAAACCAAUUGCACAGAUGGAGACUAAUUUGCGAGACGAAUCUAUUAAGCCUAAUUAGUCCAUGAUUUGACAAUGUGAUGCUACAGUAAACAUGUGCUAAUGAUGGAUUAAUUAGGCUUAAUAGAUUCGUCUCGUGAAUUAGUCUCCAUCUAUAUAAUUAGUUUUAUAAUUAGCUCAUAUUUAGUCCUCCUAGUUAGCCUUCAAAUAUUCGAUGUGACAUGAAUUUUAGUCACAACUAAAGAUCCAAACACCCCCUGAUUCUAGAUGCCCUAAAAAAUUUAUAUAAACGACUCUCUAACGGCAUGUUCGCUUCAGCUUAUUCAGUCAGCUUAUCAGCCACCAAACAGUAUUUUCCUCUCACAACAAAUCAGUCGUUUCAACUUUUCAGCUGGUUUAUAAGCUGAAGCGAACAGGUCUAAGUUUUUAGCAAAAUCAUUUGGUUUUUGCUUGAGGGGGGAGGGGGAGGGAGAGCAGUAACCGGAAAGAAAGCCGAAGAGGACACAGGAGAAAUUCCGCAGUAUCACCAUGGCCAUUGGCCAUUGCCACGCGCUCCCUUGUCCGAGCAUGAUGGGUGUUGGCCAACGGCCAUUCAAGAACAGCUACAGAUGGGCCUGAUAGCUCCAUUGGAACAGCAUCACUAUUCAUUUUUUUAAAAAUAAAAAUAAAAAUAGCAUCACUAGUAUCCAAAAGCGCCGUCCAUGGGCUACUAGUGUAUGUCUUAAAGAAGACAACAAGAAGCACUGCGUACUUAAAAACCUUUUAAAAGAAAAAAUAGUUAAAGUGUCACUGUGACCCCAAAGGCUGUGGCUGUCGUCAGCUACACCGUCAACACGAAUGUUCUAGAGGCUGGCUGCCGCGCUAACAGUACCAUUUUUGUGAAACAAAGCGCAGAAGGGUCUCGCAGCACUUCUUGUUCGAUGAACACUCAAUAUGGCAAAUAGGAGUACGUAGGAGACUAGGAGUGAUGCAGUUACACCCUGUUGGUAAUUCUAGAGCCUUCGUUGAAUCCUUCAAUUCCCACUUGGCAUCAAUCGUGUGCAGAGUAGAACUCUUUCCAACUUGCAAGUAAAUCCUUGCACAAAUACAAAUCUUCAAAAUGUAUUUGUGCAAAUUAUAUACCUGCAAAGAAAAGGCAAAUCAUAUGUACGGAGUGCUAGCAAAAAUUUCGAGAGGCUCGCCUAAACGAGACGGAUCAGGGUCCCCGGAUCCGAGGCGAUUCGAUCACCCAAGAUACACCUCGAGAUCUCCGCUGCACCCCGACUCAUCAUGGAGUCAUGGGUCUGACUGAACUCGCGGACCCACUCGUCAGGCUACCUACGCCACUUCUGACGUCCCCGGAAAGAGCUCACCCCUUUUACGCCUCAUCAGUCUCCCCUUUAAAAGCUGCGGAUAUUUUGCUCCGCCUCCUCCGAUCCCUUCCCCUCCCACACUAGGAGCCCGAAAAGACCAGACUACCCCCCGCUCCCCCGGAAGUCAGAGUGGGGGACUGGGAGAGGACGAUAGGAUAGCGCAUCGUCGUCGCACCUGUCGCCGGCGAGCCAGACCGGAGCGAAGCAGGCAGCGAUGGCGGUCGCGGAGCUGUGGGAGACGCUGAAGCAGGCGAUCGUGGCGUACACGGGGCUGUCCCCGGCGGCCUUCUUCACGGCCGUGGCGGUGGCGGCCGCGCUGUACCACGUCGUGUCGGGGCUCUUCGCGCCCCCGCCCCCGCCGCCGCCGCGCCCGCGGGAGGAGCCCGAGGCGGAGCCGCUCCCGCCGCCCGUGCAGAUGGGGGAGGUCUCAGAGGAGGAGCUCCGCAAGUACGACGGCUCCGACCCGAAGAAACCGCUCCUCAUGGCCAUCAAGGGCCAGAUCUACGACGUCACGCAGAGCAGGUCUGUUCCCUGCACCAAAACCCUCACUCCCCUCCUGUUUCGAUGCAUCCGUCGUUUUGUUCUAAGGCUUAGAUUUUGCUAGCUGCCCGAUUCUACUGUAGCCGAGUCCGUGUAUGAUUGUCGAUCGAUUGGGUCGUAUACAAGAAACAGCUGAUACUACUUGUUACUUAUGAUUUUUUAUGAGGUCGCAUAAUUGCCGUGUUUUGUUGUGUAGUCAGUACUAUUUCCGUGACCUGACUGAGUAGGGUUGCCGAUUAGCACAUAACGAUUAAGCCAUCAAUUCAGUGAUAGGAAGCUACUUCUUGCCCAAGUUUUCCAAUGCAACUGUAGAUUUGUCUUUACCGAUGAUUGGAGUGAUCCGGAUGAUAUAUUUCCUUGAGUUUAUGUGAGGCAAUUGAAUGUCUUGUCGUAUUUGAGGUCUUUGAACUGGUUGUUUCCAUCUUCCUGGCUGACAAGAGUAAUCCAGGUAAUAAAUUCUGCUGGAAUUUCUCGUUAAAUGUUUUGUCUCUAUUGGGGUUUCAGUUGCGUGGGUGCAUCGAUUGGUUGAAACAAGAUAUGGAAACUACCUAUCAAUUGCACUUUUGUUUGUUAGUAAUGAUUUACCGUGUUGAUGAUUUGUAACGCUUGUAACCGUCUGGUAUUUCUGCUCAUCAAGUUCAAAACAUUGCUAUUUACAGAAUUUAUGGGUAAUGUUUGAUUGAUUGCUAGUUGUGUAAUAUGAAAUCCCACAAUGCUAGCUAGGGGAUGAUAAGUUCUUGUAGUGGGUGGAAUCGCGGGCUCACAGCGGACAUUUGGGGUCUUGACAUCAAUUCCAUAAUGCUUGUUGGGGUUGUUUUUCCUGCCUUUUUCUUCGUACAAACUUUGGAUGUUUAUAAAGCUUGAUAUAUCGUAAUCAUUUGUAUACUUGAUUAUAAUCUUUUUAGUACCUGUUGACUGUGUGCCAGCUGGGGCUUUAGAGUUGCAAGUAUAUUUGGUAACGAUCGCCUGAUUGAAUAUAGAGAUCCCAUGUUUAUAAUAAGUGAGAAUACCAAAUGUUUAGCAGGCUAGCAGCUGUGCCUGAAUGCUGGAUGUGCAGAAGCCACUUUCACUAUGUGCUUUUCAGUCGGCAAUUGAAGAAUUAGUGAAAGUUGUUUCCCCCCUUUCCUGUUCCUGUAUUUUGUAAUAUUCUGGUGGUUAGGUACAGGAAUGGAAUAAGAUUUGUGAUUGCUCUUUAUCUAUCCCUUGGUAUGCGAGAUGUGGUUGCUGGUUUACCCCUUUUUUGUGGGCAGAUGAUAAUAUUUUUAAGUUCUUGGAUCUGCUAUAUCAUAUGCAGGUCUAUCCUCAAAAGUGCACGCACUAUCCAUCACAAUCAUUUCUGUAUUGCACCGCUGUCCAUGCAAAACACAUGCAGCCUUUUUGGUGAGGGGUCAUGUUACAUGAUGCAUGCAUACUGUAUUCAAGAAUAGCUGUGCUAAUUUUGAUAUGUUUGGAUUAAUUUGUGCCCAGAAAUGCGAUGUGAAGUUCUCUUACAUAUUGAUUCUUAUUUAUUUCCACAUUUUACUUACAUAUUGCAUUAUAUAAUUAUUUUGUUUGUUUUACUGUCACUACGCAGGAUGUUCUAUGGACCUGGUGGACCUUAUGCUCUAUUCGCUGGUAAAGACGCCAGCAGAGCCCUAGCCAAGAUGUCCUUCGAGCCACAGGACUUGACCGGUGACAUCUCUGGCCUUGGUCCCUUUGAGCUGGACGCCCUGCAGGACUGGGAAUACAAGUUCAUGAGCAAGUAUGUGAAGGUCGGUACUGUCAAGAAGACCGUCCCUGGUGAAGAGGGCAACACCGCAAGCUCAGCUGCUGAAACCAGUGAGACCGCCGCCGAGGCACCAGCAACCGAAGAGAAGCCGAGGGAGGUAGCUGCGGAGGAGGUGAAGGAGAAGGAAGCUGCCGCUGUCGAAGGAGCCAAGGAAAGCUAGAGCGUUUCAGAGCUCCCUGCAUAUGCUGCAAUAAAUGGACAUGUUGGAUGUCAGGGCCCUGCCGUCCUCUUGUCAGUGACAUAGGCUGUGUAAUCUGGAUAUGUGAUCUGUACCAGCUCCAUGGCCCUGGAGGUGCUGGUGAUUUAUAUUAUAGUCGGUCAUUGGGAAUUUGGAGUACAAAGACAUCCGGCUGUGCACCCCCUACCUCUGUUAAUGUAGUAAUGUACUCAAUCGUGUCGUGGAUAAUAGGCGCUCUUGUAAGAUAGUUUCAUGCGCUGCAUUUUCUUUCCCCCAUACAAAGCAGAGAAGCAGCAUCCAUGAUUUGGGUUGGAAUGCAAAAACUUGUGAUAUGGGUUCCUUGCGAGAUUCCACCACAUGGGAAUCUUGUGGAAAUCAUGCGUCGUGAAAAUUCUUGUCAAGAAGACUGACGCUGGGUCAAAACCACGCAUGGGAAAGUUCAUGUUUGGCAUUGUCAAUUCAACAUACGACAAAGGAGCGGUCUCUGUUUGAAUUGAUGUAGAUAUUAUUGAUACCGAUGGCACCCCUUCCCCGAAGUUACGCUAGUCCUGUGCAGUGUCGCCAAAGUCCGUGGCCAGUACUGCAGAUAUACUCUUAUGUUCUCCUUUUUAUGUCAAUAUUUUCUGUGAACAGAUCAAUCGUAAAUAUUUUUUUGAGAUGAUCAGUAAAAUGUUUUUCGAACAAAUGUAGAUGCGGCACGUACUUGGGAACGAACCCGACGUCAAAGAAAAAGGAAGCAGAGGGGUUAGGUUCCUUUCUUGGGCUUCUACGCGCUAUUCUACUUGUGGGCCUUUACACCCGUUAGGUUUCGGCCCAUCACAGGCCAGUGCCCGAUCGACAGAGAGUUCGCAGCAGCGCGUGUAGCCGUUUAGCCCCACCUCGCCCAGCCAGACCGAACGAAGGCGUCAGCUCGCUAUACAAUCCGACCCAGGGCUCCGUUCCAAAGCAUACCUUUCUCGGCCUUUUGGCUAAGAUCAAGUGUAGUAUCUGUUCUUAUCAGUUUAAUAUCUGAUACGUGGGCCAUGCGCCCACUUCGAUAUUAAAUUUAUUUUUUGUGGGGGAGGGUCCAUCACAGUGGCUUGCCACUGGGUCCCUCGAGCGUCGCCUAGGCGUUGCACUGCUGCUCAGGCCUGGCGCACCCCAACCAAUUCUAAAUCAAAUUUUGGUUUCUGAUCACUCGCAAAGAGUGUGAACGGCAAUUGUGUGAAAGGUGCUGCUUCAGUUGAAUUAAAGAGGGAAGCAGACAAGAUCUUUCCUGCUGGCAGCGGGUGUUCAGUAGUCACUGUUCUGAAUGGCGUCUUGCUCCGUCGUGACCGCACCGGCGCUCUCCGCCUCGUCUCCGACCAGCCGGCGGCGUGCGACUGCGGCCGUAUCUCUCCCUGGUGUUCGCCGCAGCCGGCUCCCGUCACGGGGCGUGCGGUGUAGCGCCGGGCAGGGCGGCGUCAAGGUCCCGGCGAAGCGUAAGCUCCUGCACUGAAGCCUCAAUCUCUCGCGUGGAAUUCGCCUCCGAAAUCUGACGGUUUUGACGGGGUGGGUGGGUGCCGCAGUGGCGGAGCUGUGGGAGGCCGCGAAGGGCGCGCCGCCUCUCGCCGUGCUCGCCGGCGUGGCUGCGGCGGUGGCGAUCUACAAGGUUGGGUCCGGUCUCCUUGCGCCGCGCCCUCCCCAACCCCAGCGGCUGGAGACCAAGACGGCCCCGCCGCCUCCAGUGCCGGAGCCGGUGCAGGUGGGUGAGAUAACUGAAGAGGAGCUGAAGCAGUACGACGGGUCCGACCCCGAGAAGCCACUGCUGAUGGCCAUCAAGGGGCAGAUCUAUGACGUCUCCCAGAGCAGGUUGCUUCCUUGAUUCCAUCAAACCUGAGCCUCUAAUUCUUCAUUCAUCCCGUUGCAACGUUGCUCUGCUUUUCAAUGGUCGUUUAUGGUUGUUGCUUCUAAGUUUAUUCAGAGUUUUGUUCUGAUCGACUGUUCAAUGAUAGUUAUUCAAUGGUUCAUACCCUUAAUUUGUAGAACUUGCUGCUGUAGACAACAACGCCACAUGAAAAAUAAGAAGCAGUGCUCUUAAUUUGAAGAGUUCUUUUGCCCUACUUUGUGAAAUGAAGCAGGCAAUGUUCUGAAUUUGGGAUGUCAAAAAACUGUACGUUGUGACCAAGUGGAUUGAGAGUAUGUUUGAAAUGUCUUUGUUUUGGUGAGUGGAUUUUCAGUAUGCUUUCUGUCCAGUCAAAACUGAUGUCGUGCUGUCAUGCAAUUCUGCAAAUACAAUGCAAAUUGUAUUGUGAUGGAGGUUCUGAUGCUUGGCAUGUAGGUUCAGUCAUUGAGUGUAAAUCUACAUGGUAUGUCUUGGAUUGAUCUGGGUUCAGUCAUUGAGCUAAUCCACAUAGUGUUUGAUGGUCUUUUUUUGAUCGCACUCAUAGUAAUAGUACUAACACUCUUUGAAUGAUUAAUUUGGUACUGAAUUGUACAAUGCUAUGCCAUGUAUGGGUACCGUACUUUCUUCUCUGAUAUCAGCAGCAAUCAUGUUUUUUUCAUUUUAUUUUCUUGCCAUGCUAUCCUUUGGUUUUAUUGGUAAGAACAUCAGAACAUGUCCUUAUCUUGUGUUCUAUAAAAUCUGAAGCUCACUGGUUUCUCCUCAUAGAUAGUUGAACCAGGGACACUUUUAUUUGGAAACGUGAACUCGUGUGAAAGAUGUGUGCCGCAAUUAGGACGUGUUUAGGACUGUCCCAACAACACCAGCAUAUUCUGCUUAAUUUCUACUGGACAUGUGUUUACCAAUCCUAAAUCUGAUCUUUUUUUCCUGAAGGAACUUAGUUGGUUCACCUUUCUUUUGAUGUGAUAAAUAUCUAAGUCUCAUAUCUCAUUGUCGUCUAACACUCUAACCUAAUAAUUUAUAUUUUGAUCGAAUCAUUACUUUCAUGUGGUACUACUGUAAGCUCUUGGAGAGCAACAAUUCCUCUGAAACGUUAUAAGCUGCACUGGAUUUUUUUUCCCAUUUAGCUUGCUGGAGGAUGAGGCAUGAAUAAGCCUUUUUUUUUUCCGAUGAGAAUAAUUAGAUAACAUACCCCUUGCAGACUUGCAGUUCAAAUAACACGCAAAUACCAUGGAUUUUGUUGUGAACCAUUACAAAAUUUAAAUAUAUUCCUGCACUCCAAUGCAAGGACAUUUGCGUUAAUGUUGUGUCUAUUCAAAGUCUUCAUAUUCACCUACUGUCUUUAUCUUUAAGAUUACACUGUAUUUACCAUGCAUAAUGCAUUGUGUUUGACACUGAUGAUGAGUUAUGACAAUAUCUUUUGCUGUCUGUGAACUCUGCAGAAUGUUCUAUGGACCUGGUGGGGCAUAUGCGUUGUUUGCUGGUAAAGACGCCAGCAGGGCCUUGGCCAAGAUGUCCUUCGAACAGCAGGAUCUAAAUGGUGACAUAUCUGACCUUACACCAAUGGAGUUCAGUUCCUUGAAUGACUGGGAGUACAAGUUCACCAGCAAAUAUGUGAAGGUAGGAACCGUAAGAAGGGCAGCGCCUGCAGAAGAGGGUUAUGCUGGCAUUUCGCCUGAAAUACGGGAGGAAGUUAUGCCUAUGCCUGUGCUUGAGGCUGAGGCUGAGGCUGAGGCUGAGGCUGAGCCUGACCUGGAGCCCGAGCCGAUUGACGACGAAGCACCAUGAAAGGAAACACAGACAUCUGAGCAACGCGGGGAAGAACCAAAUGGAAGCCGGGGCACUACUGAUAGUGUCCCAAAGGGAGUUAGAAUUUAGGAAUAACCGAACGCGGUGCUUCAUGGAUGUUCGGAAGAAAUAGUAGAUGUGUACUCUUCAGUAGGAUGGAAUGGUUGGAUAAGAAUAUAUGAAGAGGUGUUCUAGCUCAGUGAUGUUCAUGUUCAGAAACGAAAAAAGAAAAAAGAUGCACACGUGAUGGAACAACUUAUCUCUUUUCUUUUCUUUUUUCCUUGGCUCACAUAGCUCCAAAAAGACAUUAUCUCCAUUUGAAUCGGGUUUUAAUCUGUCAGCUGCCAACUGUCUAAUUAAACAAUGGUAUGCAGUUGGACCAUACACAGCAACUGAUCAUCAUUCGCUGAUCCCAUACGCAUCAUCAUCUGAUCUUACUCUUCAAACUAACGAGUUUGAUAUGAAUCAGAUGUUAGGUUUUCGACACAUGGUAGUGGCGUGCUGCAACUGCUUCACAAUUAGUACCAGCAGUUUCUGACACGCAUCACUUGAUUCCAUCUCAUAUUGUCUUAAAGAUGGACUGAAGAGACUUCACUAUGACACUCCAGAAUUGUGUGCUCUCCAUAUUUUUGCCUGUUUGGAAUAUCACCAAGUUUGGAGGAAAAUUACCAAUUCCUCUGAAAUUCAGAAUUUUCACCUUGAGCAGUUGAGCUAGAUCCUAGAGGCUCAUCAGAUGCGCAACGGAAUUUUUCGCCUGCCAGAUGCCGAGAUGAAGCAAGCCGGCGGCAGUUCGUUGCAGCAAGGUCUGAUCACGUGAAUCCGACUAAGACUUUCGUCAAUCCUUUUGAGUCCACUAUCCACACAUGGUAGAAGGACUAAACAUAGUCUAAUUACAGAAUUAAUUGUACAGAUGGAGUCUAAUUCGCAAUCUAUCAUUAGCAAAUGGUUACUGUAGCACCAUAUUAUCAAAUUAUGGACUAAUUAGCACCAUAUUAUCAAAUUAUGGACUAAUUAGACUUAAUAGAUUCGUCUCACGAAUUAGACUCCAUCUGUGCAAUUAAUUUAGUCAUUAAAUUAUGUUUAAUAUUUCUAAUUAGUAUUAAACAUGUGAUGUGACAUGUGCUAAAGUAACUAGGCUCCUCCUCUUUCCGAGUGCAAUGUAUAGUCCUUCUCGGUAAUCGAAGAGGAAAUACUUGUGAGCUUGUGGGCCUUGUGGCAAUGAAAAGAACCGAAAAGAAGAAGCGGCAUCGAUGUUGUCUUGGGCUCUGACGGGCUACUUCUUUCGUGGGCCUUACAAGGAGAGGGGGAAACGCUCUCGCUGGGCCUCGGCGUAUUACAUGCACUCGACCGGCAUGGGCAUGGAACAUGCAGCGUGCCAGCGCGAGUAGCCGUUUAGUCCCACCUCGCCCAGCCAGACCGAACGAAGGCGUCAGCUCGCUAUACAAUCCGACCCAGGACUCGGUUCCAAAGCAUACCUUUCUCGGCCUUUUGGCUAAGAUCAAGUGUAGUAUCUGUUCUUAUCAGUUUAAUAUCUGAUAUGUGGACCAUGCGUCCACUUCGAUAUUAAAUUUAUUUUUUGUGGGGGAGGGAUCGCCACAGUGGCUUGCCACUGGGUCCCUCGAGCGUCGCCCAGGCGUUGCACUGCUGCCCGGGCCUGGCGCACCCCAACCAAAUCUAAAUCAAAGUUAUUUUUCAGCUUAACCUUGAGCGGGGUACUCUACGCGAACUUGAUUUCAGGUGGAGGGCAUCUGCGGCGGCACAGCUUGUGCCCAAGUGAUACCGGCCGGAUCAGCUUCGUAUCUCCGCUUGCCGGCGCGGAGCCGUCGGGUCUCCACGCGCCGUGCCCGGCCCCGUCGGCUGGUGCCUGGAGGCCUUGGCGGCCCUGGCGCCUUGACUUCCGGAGCCUGCGGCGGUGGUUGAGAUGUCGGAGGAGCUGCAGCGACCGACCCUGACAAAGCCACUUCCCAGUUCCCAUGGCCUUGACUUCUGGAGCCGCCGGCGGUGGGUGAGAUGUCGGAGCUGCAGCGACCGACCCCGACAAAGCCACUUCCCAGUUCCCAUGGCCGUGAGGGAGAUCUCUCUCUCAGAGCAGGUGCUCCAUCUCGAUCUAGCGCUGAUCUGUGGUUUGUUUUGUGAUACUCGAUUACGGUUGUAGCCUCUAAUGUCUAAAAUGCAUUCAGAGUUUAGUUCUGAUCAGGUGACCAGUGGUAACCAUGAAAAAUCAGAAAAUGCACUGGAAAUUCUUAAUUUGGGAUGUCAAAACUGUAGGUUGCCAACUGAGGGGACAGACAGAUGUUGAAAAGUCUUCGUUGGUGACCAUAUUUUGGGAACUGCUGCAAAUGCUUCUUUUUGUUGGUUAAUCAAACAAAAAGGUGAACCUCUCACCUCGGAUGUACCAGACCAACUAGUCAAUGGGAUGCUAAACAAAACAUUUGGGAAUGAAGGAAAACAUGUGGACUGCAGUCUGCAAUUCUGCAAACAUACUGCAAGUCUGCAAUGGUGCUCAACAUGCAAGCUCAAUUAUUGAAUGCCAAUCCACAUAGCAUGCUUACAGUUGAUUUUGGGUUUGAGUAACUGAACCUGAUGAACAUAGAUUGCUUAAAACGUGUGCUACCACUGCCAGUAGUUAGUUUCGUUUGAUUUGGGAUUUGUAUGCCAAAGUACUGCAGGAGGAUGGCUUGCCAGUAGUUCCUUUUGUGGUAUCAGGAAGAAUAUAAUCAUGUUUUUCAUUUGAUGUUCUAUAAAUCUGAAGAUUGCAAAUUUGUCCUCCUAGAUAGCAUGAUUGUGGACAAUUCUACUUGAUAGACAAAAUUGUUUGAAAUAUGUGCAGUGAUUUAGGGUUGUCUGAAACAAAGUACAUUUUCUACUGGGCAUAUACAGAACAUGUCAAAUAUUCUGGGCAAAAAACUUACUGGUAUACAUUUUAUGCUGUACUCGUAGCUAUCUCAGUGUAAUUGACACCGUCAAAUUGUUCCUUUUUGGAUGGGUGUGCCUUACAAACAGUAACUGGUAAUAGUAGGUAUUUGAUCGGAAAAUCCACAAUUUCCUUGGCAAGUAGGUGGGUACUUGUUGCUAGGUACGUCUUGUUCAGUACAUUAGAUAGGUGCAAUCAAGCUUUUCUGAGGAUUGGAGUGCAGUCCCAAUGCUUCACCAAACAUGUUCAGUAAAGGUUCUGAGGAUAGAUCCCUGGUGGAAUCGUUUGGUCAUUUAGGAUUUUAGUAAAAUGUAUGGCUGCACUCCAUGGAUAUUUGUAUUAAUUUAAGCCAAUUCAAGGUUUUUAUAUAACCACCUUGUCUCUUCAAAUACUAUCUCUGUACUUUAUUGUACAUAACAGUGUAACAGAAUGUGUCCGAUCAAAUUACAUAAAUUUUCCUUGGCAGUAAAAUAUAUAACACAACACAUCAUCUUUUGAUCAGGUUGCACGAAUUUUCACUCAAUUUCCCCUUUUCCAGGAUGUUCCAUGGAUCAGGUGGAGCAUAUGUUAUAUGCGAUGUUUGCUAGUAAAAAUGCCAGCAGAGCAUUGUCAAAGAUGUCCUUUGAGCUGCAGGAUGGUGGCUUUACGCAAAUCAAGCUCGGCUCCUUGAACGACUUGGAGUGAAGAUGGGAACCAUGAAAAGAACAGCCCCUGCAGAAGAAGGUUGCGCUAGCUAGCUUGAUCCUAAGCCCGAGCUGAAUGAAGAUGACGCACAAUGAAAACAAACAAACAUCUAAGUUCUGAGUUCUGAGCUGAAUGGACAUCACCAUGAAGUUGCUGAUGAAUGUUCCUGAGGGAGUUAAAAAAUAUUUGAAUACCUCCUUGCGCACGUCAGGUCUAAUGCUUGCAGAAAUGAUGCUUUAAUUUUACAUGUCUGCUGAGGUGUGAGUUGUGAGCUGCUAUAAAAUUGAAUGGUUGGAUAUGAUGGAUCCAUGAUCUAGUUCCAUGGUCUUCAUGUUGAAAAACGAGAUGCAUUGUUCCAUCAUGUAUGCAGAUCCCCCUGUAGCAACUUCCAAUGUUUGAGCAGCUUGCCCAAUUUCCAGUGUUUAUUUAGUAUAUAUGGCCAAUAUUUCCAGUACUUCAUUCAUACAUAAGUUCUUAGCCACAAUGCAACUGAGGAGCAGAUGAAGAUCGACGAGCAAUUUGCUCUUGUAUACGGAAAGAACAACAUUGAUUACCAGACUACCUCUUUCUAUUUACUGGUUGAGAGUCUUUGUGACUUCACUUAGUUCCAAGUUUGUCCAAUUAUCCUGCUAAAAUAUUAUCUCUUUGCUUGUGUCAUUUUCUGAUCUAUUAUCUCCUACUCAUAGACGAGAAGCGGUAGGAAAGGUGUCUUUUGCAUCUUGUUUGUUCAAACCUAUCAGAUCCACCUACGAAAGAAUGGUAUGCAUUUGGAGUAUACACGAACAACACUGUAUCGAGGUUUUAAACGUAAGAUGUCGUUAGGUUUUUGGAAUCGAUGCGAAAUAUCAUAUGAAUUGGAUUGUGCCCUUAUCCAUCAAUCAUCAUUUUUACUAUACCCAUCAUACAUAUCAACGAUCUGAUCUUAUCAUUGCUCUGGAAGUGGGCAAGAACACAUUUGCAUUCCUAGACUUCGAUGGCCGGCGCAUCGCUAUCGCCGUUGUGCUCUUCCAAGGAUCCAUCAGCCUCCUCCAUCACCACGUCCUCCAUCACCACAUCCUCCAGGAUAGCAGAGCCACCGCAGGCCUGCUGAUGCUCUUGCUGGGUGUGUUCAGCGACCACAACCUGAGACAUAACAAAGAGGCGAGGCAGGCCGUCGCCCACAGUCAGUGGCGUCCAUUGCUGCAGCAAAUUGCAUCCGCUGCAGAGCAGCUUCCACCUCCGCGACCGAGACGUUCCCCUCCCGUUCGCAGGUCGGAUGCCGAGCCCCAGUGAUGCGGUUGAAAACCGUACUCACAGGGAUAGUUGGAGCUGCUGCAGUCUUCCUUGGGCCGGACGAGGCUUCAUUCCUGAAGGCCAGAGGUGUAUCCAGGAUACCUAGCCGUGUUGCCAGCGCACAUGCUUCGUUGAUGUAGUCUGCAAGCAAGGCGCAGGUCGAGGUCACCGUCUUGCACGUGCCCGCUGCGCCCACUGAAUCGAGGAGGUGACCCGCGGCCUCCUUGAGUGCAGCAGCCUGCAUCUUGAAGAUGUUCUGCAGCACGUCGUCUUCCACAUGCUCCCGGUGCAGCUGCGCGGGCAGCGGGGGUGGAAUGGGAGCCGGUUCGGCCACCGGAACAGCCACGCCGUGCUGCCGCCCAUCACGGCGUGACCCACGUUCCCAGUCACGGCGUCGCGGGGAGCGCUCCCGCUCCCGGUGCACGCCGCCGGCCGACGCGAGCCACGCCCAUACAUCUAUGGUCUUCGUCUCCGCCGGGUACAAGAGAUUAGUAUCAAUGGUCUCCAGUGCGCAGCUCCCGCCGAUGACGCGCUCGACGAUAUCCGCGCGUUUUACAUAAUUUGAUCUUGCAAGAAUUAAUUCUUCGGAAGCUCAGCCCAACAACACAAGUUAAGAAGAGUUAUUAAAGGCCCAAGGCAACAAAAACACAGAAAGAGCCCACUCUCUGCCCAGUGCUCACGUUGCUCCGCACGAAGCCAACAAUAAAGCUUUGCCAACUGGCCUGACACUCUCUCCUCACGUUCUUCCCCCUCAGCUCAACCAACGCUGCUGUUGUUUAGUACCACACCGCCUGUUCACAGAGCACAGCACCAACUUAAAUGGCCAGUCCUCCGCGCCUCACUCGCCGAGCAGCUAGCGCCUGCUUGUAACCCGAGCGGGGGCAUUAAGGUGGUGCGGAUGCCAAUUGUGGCGCUUGGGCCUGGGUCUGCUGCCGCAAUCUGCGGCCCGCCCGUUCCAAGUUGCGUAGUGGGCCGUGGGUGCUUCGGCGAAGGCCUUGGCGUCCCGGCACCUAGAGCGGCGGGCAAUGCGUGAGGCUGGCUUCACAGAGCAGCGAAUACCGCCCGCUUCCAACGGUGGAAGGAUAACGGGCCGCUGCGCUUCAGUCCCGCUUAGGCCCAUGCGCCCUCUCUGGCAGACCACCAUCUUUUUGCAUUUUUUUUCCUUCGUUGGCCCUUGGCUCCGUGAAUCUCGAAGAACAAUUGGUUUGCCAAAAAAGAAACACACUCUGAUUCACAUGGUCAUACUCUGCUAGUGUGCCAAGUCAUGACGUGUCCUUGACUAGUGCUAAAAGACACGCAUUGCACUGCUUUGCCGGUACAGAAGAGCACAGAGUGCACCGUAUCACUCUGAAUUUCUGAUCGAUCAUUUUAGUCAUGCAUGGUUAUUAGGUCCAAAGAGUUUGUCUCAAAGGUCACAGCGCACAUGCAGACGUCCAUCAGCUCCACGGCUCUCUCCCGGCUUGCCGGCGACGAAGCACCACCACACACCCGUCAGCCGUUAGUUGGGAAGUACCGGGGCACAAGCUCCAGCCGGAACCGGCAACGGUGGAACUCCAAUUCUCCAAUGCUCUUCGUUAGAAUCCUAAACAACAAGGAGGGUACCUUGUCAACUACUGUUCUAUAUACUGAUCGGCGGACGAGAGGAGGAGGAAGAUCACCUGAAUUAUCGGUUAUGCAGGGGAUUUGAGCCUUGUGGCACUGGUCUCGCCGAUGCUUCGUACAUCCGCCCGGGAGGAGAACCACUUCCAAUACGUUCUUGCGUUCUUGGCACCUUGUAGAGCUGCUGCUCCACUGAAUAUGCCGGUCGCUCGUCUUCUUCCGCGACGAUUCGCCCUCCCUGACUGAAACCGGCAAACUCUGCAGCAAGUAGGCAUGCCAAGAAAAGCAGCACGCGCCAUGCUGGAAUCUCCAUUGACCUGGAGAUCAUUUUGCAGAGGAGGAGGAGGAAAGAUGGAGUGGAUGGGAGGAGUUCAAGCCAACCAUGCAAGUAAAGUUGAUUCUGAAUUUUGCUGAUCUGAAAGGGCUGCAGGUUUCGUUCCGGUCUUCCAGAACUAAGUAGCGGGGCAUCACAUGUUCGCUGGUGCGUCCAUGCUCCAAGUUUGGAUCCGUCCAAUAAUUGGAUGCAUGUUGGACUUGUCUAAUGCUUGACAGAUGCGUCCUCAUCUCAUAUGGAGUGACAUCAUGGCUUGUAUGAUUGAUUGCUCCGAGGCCAAAAGAGUGGUUGGUUUGGACGGCAGCCGGAUUUCAAACGUUUGGAAUCUGAAAGUUGACUGAACAUCCAGUGAAUGGAGAUCAUACUUUGCAUGUUUGGCCCCAUCUUGGUUCCAGAAGUUGCAAAUUUUUCAGGACUGAACAUCAUGGCUGAACAUUUUUUAAGGAUGCAUAGUUAUCCAGAAGUUCCAAAAUUUUCAUCAGUCAGCAGUUUAGCAUCUUCACUCCUUGAGAAAAAUGCAGCAAGUUACUGUUCAGGAAUUAGUUCUAGUCAGUUAGCAUCUUAAUGUGCUCUUGUUCUGACUCCUCACUCAUAGUUCCCAAUUUGUUCAUAACAGAGAAAAAUACCUUUUCUUCAUUUUGCCAUUUUCCGAUGAAUGAUCUAUCAGCUGCUCACUCGAAGACGAGAAGCGUCAGAAAAAAGAAUAUAUUAUCAUGUGUUGCUCCUUGUUUCCUUAGUCUAUCAGCUGCCACCUGCCUGACUAAACAAAGGUAUGCAUUUGGAUCAUACAUGAACAGUGCUGCUUUGAAGUUUUAAACUGUUACCUGUAACGAGACCUUUGGGAUCAACAAUGUCGAAGCUUUUUCUGAACCAUUGGAGUGUACUGCCUGACUCAUCAAUCACUCAUUGCACAUUCCUAUCAUACACAUUCGCAGGUCUGAUCUUAUUUUACUCCUACUCUGCAAAUGGACAAGAACACACCUGUACGCUACAGUCUUAGACUAGAAUGGAACCGUAGUCACACCGUAUGUCCGUAUCACAGAGAAGUACAUUGAAAAUACUGCAGCAAACUGAGCAUGUAGAGAAAGUUACAGUGAUUAUUCAAAAAAAGGAGAAAUUUACAGUGUCAAAACCACAACAGCAGAGAAUUAGUUCCCUUCCCAGAUUCUUUAUGUAAAGGAGGAAUUCCCUUGGAAUUUUGCAGAAACUGUACUUAUUUUGGCAAAAUCCCCGUCACCUCCAAUGCUCCGAAAAAGGCAUAGAGGAACCAAAUGCAAUGCACUUCUUUUCACUUCCACAAAGCUAUGUUUUACACCACUUCAUGAAAAAACAACAGCUUCUAAGAUCACUCUGAUAUCCCUCUCUCUCGUCGCAAGUGCAGACUGGUUUCUGAGCCUGGAGUCCGGAGCUGGUCAGUUGUGCAGGAAUUUUUUUUAAUUUUAACCCUUUUAAAACUAAAUUUUUAUAAAUAACUCCUCCCAAUCUUUAUUUCCAAGAAGUAGUCAUUUUGGUCACACCAAUCUCUAUGGCGCGACUAAUAUUUGAGUCGCGCCACAUGCAAUAGCGUGACUAACAUAACACAAUGGCAUGAACAAAUAUCAACAGCCGCGUGGCGAUGAUGUGACGAUGACGUGGCGGAGCGAGUCACGCCACGCCACGUGGCGUGACUCAGUCGCGCCAGAGAGUACGGCGAGUAUGGCGUGACCAGCUCCCCCCGUUGGUUGAAAAUGCAGCCUACUUAGCCAUAUUUCAACUUACGUUCUAAUUGACUAAUGAUCUCUUUAAAUUUAUCAAACUUGAUAAGAAUAAUAUAUAGAGUAUAUAUGUUCCAUUUUAAGCGUUUACACUCCAAAAUAUGGUUUGGAAAUCGAGGAAUCCAAUUUCUAAAUAGGCUAAGUGUUAUUGGUUGUAAGCAGAGAGAAAGCUAAACAGAACGUUAGCUUAUGCACGUAAUAGUAAAAAAAAACAGAGAGAAAAAGCUAAACGGAACGUAGAGAGGAGAAAGAGUAAUCUGUAUGCAGACAACGUUUAUACGAAUAAUGAUUGUAUAUGUAAAUGUGAGUUUCAACGAGAACUUAAAGUUUUAAGUAAUAAUGUUUAAAGGACUCAACAAACAGCUAGGAGGGACAACAUGAAAUUAUUCUUCAUCGUGUAGGCCUUUCUUCUUUAAUCUGGAGUGAGAUGACUGCAUAUAUCCAUGCCAAAAACUUUGGACAUGAAUGAAUCACAUCUGUGUGUACGUUUGCCUGAAUGAACUAUACCUACAGAAUUAAGAGAGCAUUAGCAUGAGUCAAUCCAGCUUAUAAAUAACAUGAGUCGGUCAGUGAUCAUUAAAGACAUUAUGCAUACUGUAGGGAAGAGAUUGAUUGGAACUAAAAAGUUAUGGCAGUGACCGCCCAUGGACAACAUACCUUAAUCACGUUAGUUGUUAUGAUCAUUUGGUUUGAUCUCUUUAGAUACAAGUGUACAACAAUAACGCUUAGCCUAUUUAGAAAUUGGAUUUCUCAUUUUUCAAACCAUAUUUUGGAGUGUAAGCACUUAAAAUGGAACAUAUAUACUCUAUAAAUUAUGCUUGUCAAGUUUGACAAAUUUAAGAGAUCAUUAGCUAAUUAGAAUGGAAGAUGAAAUAUGGCUAAGUAGGCUGCAUUUUUGUGCACUUUGGGUCCAACCAGAGCAACCAAGGGGGAGCUGGUCACGCAGAGGCUGGCGUGACUCGCUAUGCCACGUCAUCACCAUGCUGCCGUUAUGUCAUGUUAGUCACGUCAUUGCAUGUGGCGCGAUUUAAGUAUUAGUGGUGCCAUAAAGUUUGACGUGACUAAAAGUGCUACUUCUUGGAAAUAUAGAUCGAGAAGGAUUAUUUAUAAAAUUUUAGUUUUAAAAGGGUUAAAAUUAAAAAAAUCGUUGUGCAGUGGGUUUGGCGCCUGAGGCACCAACCUCUUGGACGCAACGAGCAUGUGCUUGCAACAUUGACCAAGGCGUCGCCCUGAAGCUGAAGAAGAUGCCUGCUUAGAGAAAUAGGCCGGUGGCAAGCCCCCUCCGCCGCUGCCGUCGUCGACACCCAGUUCUGCUACUCUCCGGCCAUAGCUAACGAUUGACAUGUCUGUCAUUACGAGAAGACUGAUGAGCAGCAGCAUUAGCAUGGUUUUCAGAGAUCUUCUCACCAUGAUGCGAUGCUUCAAUUCAAGAGAGAUGUUAGAGAAGAGAAGGUGAGGUAGAGGGAAUCAGGGAAGAAGAAGAAGAACUGGGCCCAGAAGUUUUGCACACAAAUCUGAUACUUCGCCGCUUUAUAGCGAGAAGGUUAUGGAUCACCAACUACUUUUUCCAAUGGAAGUCUAAGGAUUUAAUGGUGACGUGACAGAUUGAUUGUUCUCUUAUAACAUACCGCAUAGUCUUGAUUGAACAGUGCACAUGAAUCUCAAAGAACAACUGGUUUGCCAAAAGGAAACACUGGACUCUCACUCACACGGCCAUACUCUCUGCUCGGUUGCUCUGUCAGUGUGCCAAGAGCUAGGAAGGAUGUUUGCAGAGGCAUGAUGUGUACUUGGGCUAAAAGACACGCAUGUCACCUCUUUAGCAUGAGUGCCUGACAAAGAAGUCUUUUACCGGCACAGAAGAGCACAAAGUGCUCCGUAUCUUUCCGAUCGAUCAUUUCAGUCAUUGUUUAGGUCCCGAUUUUCGGGAAUUGAAUCCAGUGAAGAUUUUGGCUCAAAGGUCACAAAGUAGAAAGUACACGGGUGUCCAUCAGUGAUGAGUCAGAGCCAUGGCCUUUUCUUCAUAAACGAACAAAAAAAACGUUUUCUUUUUCCAUGAAAUUUUCUUGCCACGUGAGUGAAAUUUCAGCAGCCCGCAACACUUCACUGUCAGAGAAAUCAAACUCGUAAAAUUUCUCGCGCGAAGGCGAAGUGUUUCAUAAGCAUGUGGAUCUGUCCCGAUUGGCCAUCAUGUGUAUGCCACGUGCCUUAAGAUUUCAGUCAUUAAAACUCCAUCCGCACACCAGAUUUCUCAGCAGGCGGCAGCAACCAACCGAGCCCUGAUUUUUCUCCCCCGGAUUCCUCGCGGUCGCCGGCGAUGCGAUGUGACGCGAUCGCGUGGAAAACGACAUUGAUCGGCGGCGGCGUGCCGGACUCCGGCAUCUGCUGCUUGGUUCCCUUUCUUCUGCGUGAGACGGUGACGCACUGAAGCCGAAGAAGAGCGUGCGUUUCCCCGAUCUAUGUGAUUAGUCAGCAAAGCAGCCCAACCCAUCUUUAUUGGGCUACAAGGCUGGCCCAAUAGUGCUAGGAAUUCUGUGCUCUGCAGCCCACGCGGGAGGGUAUUAGCAAUGGCAAAGCAGCACAACCUGGCGUCACGGCCGCGGUGGUUAGUCCCACCCUGCUUAGUCUGAAGGUGAUUACCCAGCGAUCACACGUCUUAUAGAGCGGCAGCCGGAGGCUUGGAACUCAAGCAGCUGCGUGGUGAGCACAAAGCGAACUAUUCUUUCGCCUUUUACUAAAGAAUACCGUGUGCACGCCACAAUAAGCAGCAUACCCCAAUUUUUGGAGGGUGCUUUCUCCUUGAGGAAGCGCCCAACAAACUAAUUGUUCAAAAUUUUGAGGUUUCUCUUUACGGAUUAAAUUACGUUCUCUUCCGGGAGGUUCCAAACGGUUCAGGAUUUAAAGGUGAACACUCUACCCUUGAAUACUUGAGAAUCGCCCGCAGGCCCUUCAAUUGUAUUGUUCAAAAUCUUAAAAUUGUUCAAUUUCUCCUCUUCUCGUUGAAGAAGCCCUCGAUCUUCUGCUGAAUCCGAAUAAUCCCCAAGAGAAAGCCAUCUCAAAUGGCAGCGCCUAGCCCCAAAUUAGUGAUGUUUUCGACGACUGGCAUUCGAUUGACGAUUAAGCAAACCUUCAAUCGACUGACGUCGAGAAAUUCUGCUAUUUGUUUAUCCAUACAUGCAUGAACAUUCGGGAAGAACAUAUCAACAUUGGAGAAACAACAACAAAAAAAGAAGACAACAGAUAACUGGAUUCGAACCAUCUUAUAUUCUGAUCUCUUGACAGGGGAAACUCUACAGAAAUGUUAAUGUUCAGCAGUCUGAAUACGAGGCUAAAGUAAGAGGUAUACGGUACCAGUUCAAGCUUACAAGUACAAUGCAAAAGGGCGUCAACUGACACUUGAUCGAUUCCUGUUUAUUCGUCCAAAUAGCGUAUAUAACUUAAGAAGAAUGGGGCUCUUGCCACAGCAGCUCGAGCAAUAAUGUACAAAGAUAUGCAGCUGGAGUGGACAAUUUGCCACUGCCUCUCAACAGAUUGAGCUGCUGCCAUGGCGCUAAUUCACGACACAGUUGGCGAUCUCAGCGAUAGGGAAGGAGCUAAGCGAAGGAUUAAAAAGAAAAUGGGAAUCAGAGUAUGUAUACACGGUGUAGAAAAAUUGCUUCCUGGCCUCAGUUUUGGGUCUUCUCCACCUUGGCCUUGAUCUUCUGCUCAAUGAUCGCCUUCUCGGUGUCGAGGCUGAACAUCCGGUUAAGGGCAUGCAUGUUCUCAAGCGUCUCAUCGAGGGUGCGGCUAUCGCUGCCAUCGCACCUCAAGUGCUGCAGCGGGCCAUGGAGGAGCUUGUUCACGAUGCCAGUGCUCAGCUCCUCGAUGGCUCUCCGCAUCUUCUUGUUAAGAUUGUCUUCACCGAUCUUCUGAAGGCACUUCUCGAGCUCUGAGGCCCGGAUCCUGUCAGCAUAUGACCUCAACUUCUUGAUGGUCGGCACGGUCUCCAGUGAGUCCCUCCAUGCCUCAAACCGUUUCAGUUCUUGGGUGAUGAUUGUCUGCGCUUCCAUUGCUUUCCUGAGACGGUCCUCCUUGUUGGCUUCCACCACCUCUUUCAAGUCGUCAACAUUGUAUACUCGUGCGGAACCAACUUCAGACACACAAGCACUGACAUUUCUCGGGACAGAUAUGUCGACAAACAGACGGACACCACCCAUUGUAUCAGAAAUAGGGGGGAGUGCCUCUGCGUGCUCCUUUGUGAACAAUGGGGUUUCAGAUGCAGUGCUCGUGAACACAACAUCAGCUUCAGCAGCAGCUUCAUACAUCUCUGAUAGAGGCCUGUACACAAUCUCGAUAUCUUUCAUCUCCUCGCAAAUGGCAUCCACCCUUUCCACCGAGCGGUUCACCACAACAACCUUCUUGCAUCCUUUGGCAAUGAGAUGCUUGAUCACUAAUUUGCCCAUCUUACCAGCACCAAUCAGCAGCAUUCUACCUGACAGGGCUUCAGUCUUUGGAAGCUUCAUCAGGGCCAAUUCAACAGCAGCUGAACUGACAGAAACCGCACCAGAUGAUAUGUUGGUCUCACAUCGGACACGCUUCCCAGCUGUGAUUGCAUCCUUGAACAUCCUAUCAAUGUUCUUUCCCAGGCCUCCACUGUUUUGCCCACUCCUUACAACUUGCUUAACUUGAGCAAGGAUUUGUCCUUCACCGAGAACCAAAGAGUCAAGCCCUGCUGAUACCUCAAACAGAUGGCGUGUGGCAUCACUGUCACGCAACAUGAACAGGUGCUCCCUGAGCUCAGAAGCAGGAAUGCCACUUUUCUGUAAAACCAAAAAAAUGCACACAUCAGGGCGUCUUUCCCAAAUGGAGUCCUUGAGCAACCAAAAGGGAAAGCUGGAAAAAAAAAAAGAAGACUGGAUGGAACAAAUAUAGUUGAUCAGACUCUCACCUUUGACAUCCAGUCUACUACUUCUCUGAUACCACGGUUCCAUGACAGAGCCACCACAUAAAUUUCCAUUCUAUUGCAGGUACUAAGAACAGCAGCCUCUUCAAUAUGGUUAAGAUUUGUGAGUUCUUGAAUAGCACGAGGCCAUAGUUCCUCUGCAACCGCAAGUUUUUCACGCAUCUCCACUGGUGCUGUGUGUACACUGAGGCCUAUCACAGCUAUGCUACUCCUUUCUUUCAUGUACCCUGGUAGUGGAUAUAAAAGUUAAGACAUUAUCAAACAUGGCACACUGCACAGAGAAAAUCUGUUUCUAGUAGAAGUAAACUGAAUAUAGCUGCAUCAAUGUUAUUGCUUGAAGUUCCAUAGAUAUUUUAUUGAAGCAAAUUCUAUGUGGAGAAUUUCACGUGUUUACACUAGAUGAGUAUGACCAAAACGAGAGAGACUCAAUUUUUUUCAGUGCAAAAUGCUUGACAUCUUUGUUGUCCAAAUUAGAUUUCUCUUUCCUAAGGACAACGCAGUUCUGUAUGCAUUCACUAUCAUUUGUCUGGCUACCACAUGUUAUUUUGGUGGAUAUAAACACAGAUAACACCACCAAUUUGUGAAGCAUUGGCUCCACAAUCAGUUAGCCCUUGAACAAAUCCCCCAAAAUAACUUGCCAAAUUCACUAGUGGCUGCUUGACUCGGUUCAGAAAGGAAACCAAUUAAUGUUUCAAUUGGAAUGCCGGGCAGUUUCCUCAUCCCCAUGACCAAUUCCAAAUGACACAAGCCAACUCCUCUCUGAUGCCACACGACCUGGUCUCCGACUCCACAUACUAAUCUUACUCAACUCAUGUAACUAGGCUGUGAAAAUUUCUAACGAACGGCAGUAACAUGGAAAAUUCAAGUUAAGCUUGGUGAAGGAAAAAAUUGCGACAGGAAAACGCAAAGUUUCACACCCAUCCCUUUUUCUUCCCCAAACAACCCACACCUUUUGACCUGUACCAAACCAAAACUAAUCCCAACUGCAGCAGUAACCUCGACGCGACGCCAAAGAUUCCUCAAAUCGCGCACAAGAAAAUCACUUCACCAGGCCGCCACAAUCCCCGCAUCCCAGGAUUACAGGAAAGGAAACAGCGGCGGCGGAUUUGAGGACAGACGAGGGGAAAGGACUCACGGUCGGCGGAGAUCUUGAACUGCUCGAGCGCGGCGAUGCUGGCCGCCUUGGCCACCGCCUGCGCCUGUGCCUCCACGCCGGCAUCGCACCGCACCACCCCGGAGCGCCUCCUACCGCCGGCGGUCACCCUCGGGCAGAGGGCCAACGGCGACCCCCGCGGCUUGGCGGCGGACGCGGCCCCGAAUGCCGCGGCGGCGGCGGUCGCUGACGUCGUGCUCGCCAUCAUCUAGAUCAAGGAAGACAGAAAAGCUGCCUCCUUUCGCAAGGAAACCAAACCAAUGCGACGUGAAUCGCGGGCAGGUAGGCGGAGGGAGGGAGAUACACAGAGAGAGAGAGGCGAGGAGAAACUUCUAUCGCUUCUCUCUCUACCUCUCUCCCGCUUCUAGGAGUGGUUCUUGGUGAGGGUCCUCGGUGAGCGAGGGCGGAGAUGUGGAAUUGGUUUCGGCCUCGCGUUAGCCCGAGGGACGGGAGGGGAUGGAGAGGAGGAAGAAAGGCUCGGCUGCUGCUUGGAGCCAAAGGUUAUGGGAGGGUUGUUGGGUCGCCGGAGCCUAGCGGCAUGGCGUGUGGGGCCCACGCGUGGUGGGGUGCCUUUGGGCUCGGUCUUUGGGUCGGCCCGGAAUUUUCUAUGCUAGAAAGUAUUUUGCGUAAAGCCCCUCCUGAUCAGCAAUUAUUGCAUUAAACUUCUUACUCUCACAAACUGAACUUUGCUAGAUUCUGUGUAUCAUGUACUCCCUCCUUUCCAAAUUGUAGGUCAUUUUGACUUUUCUAAAUUUAUAAAUAUUAUUAUGCAUUUAGACAUAGUGCAUAGCAAAAACUAUGCACCUUCUAACCAAAAUAAACUACAAUUUGAAACAGAGGGAGUACAAACUUAAUUUGAUGAAGUCUAUAUGGAACUCUUCCUUAGUUCAAAGAAACAAGUAUCAUGAUUUACUAAUAGCUCGAUUAUGAGCUAUGACAAUGAACCCGUUCAUGCAUCAAAUCCGCACAUAUAUAAUCAUAUCUCAAUCACGCUUACCACGAAUUUUCAUAUGGUAGUGAGUGCAAAAUGCAAUGUGGAUUUUUCGUGUACAAUACUUUCUGUCCAAAUUCCAUCGAUGCAACGAAAAAUCAACCGUUGGUCGCUGCCUUGUUGGCGUGGCAUGGGAAAAACACAGACCUCCAUAUAACAAUUUUUAGGAAGUUUGAGGAGGCCUUAGCAUCUUUCCCUCCAUGUAUUUUGCUUACAUUUUUUUUAUGCCGCAUGUUGGCACUGGUGGGGUGGGUUAGGCGAGAUGAGCCGGCGGAUGAGAGGGUAGCGGGAGUGUGGUGGCCUCUGGCCUCUGAUUGGCUGCGGCCGCACCCUUCUAUCCACAACCCUUAUCUCUCUCCUCCCUCCGAUCUCUCUGACCCCGGGGCUUUUGUAUGGCCUGCGAGGUGGGCACACGAGUUCGCAUGGCCGCCUCACGCGCAGCCUCGUGUGGAUGAUGGCGAAGCGUGUCGACGUGGUGGCCACACUCUCCUGCCCCCCGGGGCCCUCCUGUCUGUGGCCCUUUCACGUGGAAUAUUCGGCGCCUAUUGGAUCCGUAUGGACGUGGAUUCAUGGACUCGGUCCGUUUAGAACUCGCAGGAUUUUCGUGUUUAAAAAAAAAUUACAUCCAUCAUACAACAACUAGUUAGGUGGGUGCAAAUUAAUCUAACACCUAGUAAAAUGCUCAAUGUAGUACAAUAACUUUAUAGGUGGGUACGGAUUGAUCUAACAACUUGUGAAAUGAUAAAAUUAGUACAAUUUGUAAAUUGGUUCACCUGUAGUCCAAAAUAUUAGAACAACAAUAUAUUAAGCAAGGAUGGACAUGUGAAUUUUCUUUCAGACAAUAAUUCUUAAUUUUUCUGUUAACAAGAGUUAUUAUCAUGAUUAGAUUGUUUCUUCUCAACUAUGUACAUAACUUAUUUGUUCAUUAGUAAAAAUGAAUCAAAUUUUAGAUUUACUCUAUUGGCUUUAUCGAAAGACUAAAGUCCAUAAAAGAGACUCCAUGACCUUUAGGUUUUCACCGCACUUCUGCUCAUGUAUUCAACAUCUGUAUAGAAUCAUAUUUGUUUCUGUUAUUUUAGCUUAUUUUUCUUUUCUAAACAAGUACAUGAAACUUUAAAAAUAUUUAUGCUAAGUUUCUAAAAGAUAAUUUUAGUAUGUAUUAACAUGUUGAUUUUGUUUACCUCAACAAUGUAUAUAAUCAAAUAUGUGAAAACAGUGAAGGUAAACUUUCAAUAUUGUAUACGAAAUUAAAUAUUUUUGUCAAAAUUAAAUUACUAUAUAAAAAUAAUUAAUAUGAAGAUAUAACGUCACUGAAGGUUUUAAUCUUAGCUAAAUGUAUUGACAUUAUCAUGCGAAUAUCAAUAAUAAAAUAAUGCUUAAUAGUUUAUUUUGACUUGAAAAUAAUCUGAUAGGGCAUUAGCAAAUAUGCUGCUUAUUAUAACAUUCAAACUGCAGAUGCACCAAUUGGUCAAGUUAUUAUACUAAUUUGAGCAUUUUAUAAGUUACUAAUUUGAGCAUUUUACCCACCUGUAAAGUUAUUGUACUAGAUUGAGCAUUUUAUAAGUUGUUGAACUAAUUUGUACCCACCUAACAAGUUGUUGUAUGGUGGAUGCAAUUUACUCUUAAAAAAAUCAUUUUCCAGUUUCCGGUAACAGAUCACAUGAAAAUUACAGGUUGAAAAAUAACUUGCCACAUGAAAAUUACAUGUUUAAAAAGAUAAGUAAGUCGGUAACUAGGCCCAAACCUCCAUCUUGGAAUUUUUUUUAAAACGAAUCGGGUAAGAGAGUUACCAAUUAUAUUUAAAAAUAGAAGAAAACCUAGAUUGAGCAAUAAAAAACUACCACAACAACUACUCUCACAACAACAACCAACAGCUUAGGAUUAUGGAGUGUAGUUCAUGUUUCUGAGCAUUUGCAAUUUGGUAAGAUACCCACCUGCCUUAUUUUGCCGCGUCAUUUUUGUUGAGCACGUGUUUAGAGGAUUUGCAUUCUGCCUACUGUCUUUCGUCAAAUCGUCGCGCGGUCUCUAUUGAACCCAUGUUUUGGAGCAAGCUCCAUGGUGAUACCCUUGCUUGGCCGGAUUUUUCCACUAGUACUGUUUUCCGGUAGACCUUUCGGUCGGAGCAUGCAAUUUGAGAGGCUAGGAAGGACAACAUCAAAGCCAACUGUCCCAAGGCUCCUACUUUGGCAGCUAGAAGACGUCUUUGAGUACGUCAGUUACCUGCAUCCUUGUUAAGGAUUACUGGAUGUGCUAAUAACAUGGAGUACUAGUGCUAGAUCUAUUUGGAUAUGCUAUUGUUAAAGUUUAGCUCAUCUAAAAUUUAGCACUUUCAUCCAUUAGCACUCUUGUUUGGAGACCUAGCUAAUGGAUAGAACUAAAGUCCAUAAAAAGUCACUUUUACCCUUUUAUCUCCUCACCUCCUCCCUUUCUCUCUCCCCUUUUUAUCUUUUCACGAGCCAUUAGCACCCAUUAGCUAAUGUUUUUGCACUUUUUUGUGAAGGGCUUCCAUUAGUCCUUCCAUUUGGACGUGCUAAUGCAUUAGCACUUUUCACUCAGGCCUUGUUUAGUUACCCUAAAAUCCUAACUUUAGCACUAUGCAAAAAGAAGAUUCCCCAUCACAUCAAACUUACGGUACAUGCAUGGAGUACUGAAUGUAGACGAAAUCAAGAACUAAUUGCACAGUUUGGUUAUACUUUGUGAGACGAAUCUUUUGAGCCUAAUUAGUCAAUAUUUGGAUAAUAAUUCACAAACACAAACGAAACGCUACAGUAUGCUACAUUGCUGGCGCAUUGAUUUUGGUUGUCCAAAAUCAGGCAACUAAACAAGACCUCAUUAGUCAUGGGAUCCAAACAGACCCACAUCUUUGCAUAAACUAAUCAAGAGACGUUGUACAUGGGAAAGAAAUUCGAACCAGAAAUUGUCAACGCAGCCAGCUCACACCACACUGCUAUUCCGAAAACACAUCACAUGGAGAGAGGAAUACAAUACUACGGUAGUAUAUAGUAUUGUAUUUUGUAGACGAACCUUCGUCAAAAAGAAAAAUCCUUCCGCGGUUGACACCUUCAUGGCGCGCGUUGUACAGCUCUGUUUCUGCACGUUUUAGUUGGGCGCUUGGUUUGUCAAAGCUGGGAUCUUCUGCUCACAAUGACUCAUUCCUUUUCUGCAAGGCAUGUUUGACAGGUCAGCGGAUGCAAGAGAUCCCGGCACAGAAAAUCCCUACUCGUCAAUAAAGCCUUCUCCAUGGACCCAGCUGGUUUGGUAAUGGCUUUGACCGGAGCUUUUCCUCCUCUUCCUUUGAUUCCUCUUUCAUCUGCUAGCUGCAGGCCUUUCCCACUGGACGGCAAAGGCAUGUCAAAUUCUCAGCAUGUGUUCUUUGACGGCUACAGAUUUUUUUGUUCCUUGCAGGCCAUUUAAUUUUUGGUACUUAAAGCAAUAAAAGAAUAAAAUCUCUGCUGUAUUAACCUUUUUUUUCUCGAGGUAUAUUCAUCAUGUGAUUUGCGUAACAAGAUGAUUAAUACAUGAAAACUCGUUAAUUUGGAGGGAAGACGGACAUGAAAUGGACGGUUAAAAAAAAGGAAGGGAAGUGGUAGGAGGGAAUCUUGACCUGCCCCAGCUUAAUGGCAGGAGAGGAAUGGGAAAGGUAAAGACAAGCCGGUAUCAACUUCAAACGCAACCGAACAAUCUUGCGACAUGAUCGUGCGUGACAUACGCCAUGAGAUAUUCAAGAAGAAAGCUUGUUUAGGUUGGUUGUGCGCUGUCCACCCGUCCUUGACAGGCGGAAGUAGUGGAAGUACAUCAGAAAACAAUCCUGAUGCGCUCCCUUUAUUGAGCAAUGAUCGAUGUGUUCUGGAAGCUCAUUCAGCAUUUCAGCUUAAAAUAAAAUAUCCCGAGUCUCUAGAUUCCAUGACUAGAUAUUGUACGACAGGAACAUUUGCACUACUGUGUUUAAUUGGGUUUAGAUGUCAUCUAGGUGAGCAGAAAUGUGCUUGCUGCUUAGCGUCACUCUAUGCAUUUGACAGCUUGUGCUCAUCUAUUAAUCUGGGCAUGAUGCCGCCUGACUGCUUGCUGUGAGUGACUGCUUGCUGUGAUCAAAACUUGAACUUUUACGUCAGUAGCCGGUUCCAUGAUGAAAAAAUUGCAAAUAGAUGGUGGCCUACAAGAGGAUGAGUCUCGCCAGUGCCUCUGCGUUGAGUCACUACCUUGUAGGACCGGGUGGGAACUCAACUGCAUAGGAUCCGUGUCCCUACAAGAGAGGACUCAUGAGCCCAAGCAGGCCAGGCGGACCAGGAUCGGGUGCAGUAGCUACUACCACUGCAAGCUAAGCAGUGGUACUGUAGCAGCACGGGUCCACACGCAGGGAGAGGAAUGGAUGGUGUACUGUUCAACUGCACUGUUCACUACUACCAUGUGGUACUGUGCCGAUGAAUACAGUAUCAGAACCCAGUAGCAGCCGAUCCUGACCGUGCAUCACUGAAAGUGGACGGCUCAGAUCGCAUGCAGUGCUAACAUAGGGGUGUUUGGGAUCGAAUGUUUGGAACUGCUGAAUUUUCAGACACAAAGAAUCAUCGGUGCUAACCAUCAUGGCACGCUACUACUUCUUUUUUACAGUUGAAAUAGGCAUUAUGCCUGUUCAUUAAAAAAAUGAGCCCAACCAAGCCGGGAGUAAAGCCAGGGAUCCUCCAAUAUAUGAUCCUCAAAGAGAAACCUUAAAUUUAAACAUUUAUUUUGUUGGACGCUUCCUCAAGGAGAAAGCACCCUCCAAAAAUUGGGGUAUGCUGCUUAUUGUGGCGUGCACACGGUAUUCUUUAGUAAAAGGCGAAAGAAUAGUUCGCUUUGUGCUCACCACGCAGCUGCUUGAGUUCUAAUCCAUCAGCUGCCGCUCUACAAGACGUGUGAUCGCUGGGUAAUCACCUUGAGACUAAGCAGGGUGGGACUAACACGGGUUGCGUUGAGCUGCUUUGCCACAUUGCUAACACCCUCCCGCAUGGGCCGCAGAGCACAGAACUCCUGGCAUUAUUGGGUCAGCCUUGUAGCCCAAUAAAGAUGGAUUGGGCUGCUUUGCUGACUGAUCACACGUGGUGACGUAGAUCCGGGAAACGCUCUUCUUCUCACGGCGAUGAUUAGACAUCCGUCGCCUGCAGCCCUGCGGGAAGUUUUGGAGGUGUUUGAUAUCCCACUAAACUUUAUCACCUAUCACAUUGGAUAUUUGAAUACUAAUUAGUAGUAUUAAAUAUACUCUAAUUAUAAACUAAUUGCAUAGGUGAAGUCUAAUUCGCGAGACAAAUCUAUUAAACCUAAUUAGUUCAUGAUUUGACAAUAUGAUGCUACAGUAACCAUUACUAAUGAUGGAUUAAUUAGUUUUUAAUAGAUUUAUCUCGCGAAUUAAACUCCAUUUGUACAAUUAAUUUUAUAAUUAGCUCAUAUUUAGUCCUUCUAAUUAGCAUCCGAACAUGUGACUAUGCUAAAAUUUAGCAUCAUGUAUCCAAACAGCUAGCCUAUUUACUUUUCUAGCUGGUCUGUUUUUGCUAGGUGGGCACGUGCUAUUAAUAAUAGUCUCCUGACGGUCAGCAGCACGCAGCCGCAUCUUAACUUUUCUUUUUCUUUUUCUUUCUUGUUUGUUUUUUUUUCUGUUUUUUCUUUUUCGAAUUGUUUUACGGAAAUUCCUUCUCAAGUGUAUUCUAUUUCUCAUCUUGCACGGACCAAUUCUUUGUUUCUAUUUAUUUUUCCUUUUUAAGUAUAUAUAAUGCUUUUAUUUAUUUGUAUUUUCAUAAUUCAUGUUCCUUUCCUUAUUUUUCUAUACACUACGUCUCCUGUUGCUGUACAUCAAUAUUUGAUUUUUCUUUUUUCAUGUUCCAUUAUUACUUUAAUCCUUUAUUUCAUUUGAGUUUCCAUAUUCCCAAUCUAUUUUUUUUCAUUUUUACGUAUUUCCUCCUUUUGUAUUUUUUUGUUAGUUUUCAUUCUUCCCAUAGUUCCACAAUGUGUUUGUCCUAGUGCGCAAAUCUUUAUAUCAUGUGUUCAUACAUUCUUUGUAUAUGUUUAAUUUUUUAUUUAUUUUACAUUAUUCCAUACUUCUCCCAUGUCCAUAAUAUAUUUGUUGUAUAAUUUAGUUUGCCUGUAUAAAUAUUUUUUUAAUAAGGUUGUUAAAUUUGCUCCUUAUCUAUAGAAUUUUGUUCCUUGAGUUUGUAUAAUUUGUUCAGAUGAUUGGUUAUGGACUGAGUUUAUAUAAUUUGUUCCAUACAUAUAAUUUUUUGUUUCGUGAAUUCGUAUAAUUUGUUCUGAGUCUAUACAUUUUUAUUUUUUUAUAUAUAUUCAUAUAAUUUGUUCGAGGUGUGCAACUACUUUGUUCUGUGAGUUCGUAUAAUUGUUUCAGAGAUGUUGGGGGGAAAUAUUAAUGACCUCAUAAAGCCCAUGAAAACAACAAAUCAUAAAGGUCCAAGCCCGUCUAAGGCGAUAAAGACUGCCGUCGGCCCAACACGGGAGGAGAGAGCCACGCUCCGCCUCGCCCGACCCCGACGUCCCGGGAUCAGACGCUCCCGACCCCCCGCCGCAAGACUCCGCCUCGCCCGACCCAGGGCACAGGGGAUCGGACUCACCGGGGCCCACCAGACAAGUAUCCGCCUCGGGCGCGGGUCUCGUGGGUCCCCCUGUCGAUCUCGCCAUAAAUGCGUCACAGUUCUGACACGCAGAAAGGCGCUCGUGCCCCCGACGCAACCCGCCACAAGUACCCUUGCGCGGCCAGGCAACAGUGGCUGCGGCCUCCUCCGAUUCUCCUCCGAUUCGCUACAGGGCACUCAUGGCCUGCGUCGCCCGAAGCAGGAGGAAGCCUCGCCCGUUCUCGCGCCCCGCGCAUCCGGCGACAGAGACGUGACGUCUGCCUUCCGCGGGCCGUCCGCAAGAUGGCAGGAUCAGCCGCCUUCCCCAACGGACACAGGUGCCACGACGAAACACCAUCAUCACGCCUGGCGGCAACAGCCACCAAGGAGACCAUCGACAGGACUCAACGGCGGCCGCCCUCUUCCAGCGGACACGCCGGCGGGAGCCGAAGACCGGAGAGGAUGCCGGCGGCCUAGGGACUUGGUCCCUCCCCUUGUGUUGUAUCUUACUUGACUUAGUUUAUCUCUUUUACUUCUCCUCACACCCGGUUUCACUUGUAACCCCGGUGGCCUCCUUGCACUAUAAAAGGAGAACCGGGGGCCCUGAGACAGGGGGACUCUCAGAAGCCAACAGAACCCUCUCACUCUCAUUUAGAGCAUCAGUGCACACCCAAGAGACUUGGGACCAGCUCCCUCUCUCGCCCUCCUGUAACCCCUACUACAUACCCCGCGUGGGCAACACGAGCAACUCCCGAUACUAGACGUAGGGCUCUUCCUUGUCCGAACCAGUCUAAACCCCAUUUCUCCCACGCCACCAUCCAAAGCCUUACGCGCAUAAAAGAAAUUUACUAGUCGUAGUCUUGAUCCGCUAAUCUUGACAACAACAAGAGAUACAUAUCAUAAAAUUUUACCUUCAUAAAAGAUAUAUCCAUAAAUAAAUUUCAUCCAAAUAUAGUUGAGUGUUUAUUCUGAAGAUCUUGUUGUAAUAAGAUUAAUAGUGCAAUCGGAAUUUAAUUUAGAUGGUCGGUUUAAGAAUUAUGUUUUUUUUUAAAAUUUUGAACACCCCUUCACAUGUGGACGAUGUCAUUAAUUUCGUCUUUUCUACAUGCAUCCACGUGAAGUUUACUCCUUUCGAACGGGCUCCUUACCGCUUUUUAAGCCUAACUUGGCUCGCUUUACCGAUGCGGACAACUUUUUUAGCCUAAUAUAGGCCGUCCUACUGCUGUGAAUACAUGAUGUCUUAAUUAAUCCGGAAAACUCUUCGGAAAGGUAGGAAGGCAUUGAAUCUUCUAGUAUUUGAGAUUCAUGCAAGUAAUGAGUUCCAUAAGAUCUACAUCAAAUCUAAACCCUAUCUCCCUCCGCUGCUUGCGCCGCGGCCCCCUUGCCACGGUUGCCACCCCUCCCUCCCCUACCACCACCCCUCACGCGGGCCCCGCCACCCUCGCCGGAUUCAACUUUUUUUUGAAAAAAAUAUUGGUGCAACUUUUUUUUUCAAAAAAUGUUAGAUUCAACUUUUUCUAAAGAAAUGUUGGCUCAACUUUUUUCGAAUAAAUGUUGGUUCAACUUUGUUUUCCGAAGAAAUGUUGGUCCAACUUUUUUGAAAAAAAUGUUGGUCCAACUUUUUUGAAAAAAUGGGAAGAAGAUAGUUGAGAUGGAUCUUGGUGGGUUGGAAGAUAAGGCAGAAAUCUUACGAGUUUGAUUUCUCUGACAGCGAAGUGUUGCGGUCCGCUGAAUUUCACUCACGUGGCACGAAAAUUUCAUGGAAAAGCCGUGCUUUUUGUUCGUUUGUAUGAAGACAAAAAGCAAUGACAGAACUCACCACUGAUGGACGUCUGCAUGUGCACUGUGACCUUUGAGACAAACUCUUGGACCUAAUAACCAUGCAAGACUAAAAUGAUCGAUCAGUAAUUCAGAAUGAUACGGAGCACUCUGUGCUCUUCUGUACCGGCAAAGCAGUGCAAUGCGUGUCUUUUAGCACUAGUCAAGGACACGUCAUGACUUGGCACACUAGCAGAGUAUGACCAUGUGAAUCAGAGUGUGUUUCUUUUUUGGCAAACCAAUUGUUCUUCGAGAUUCACGGAGCCAAGGGCCAACGAAGGAAAAAAAUUGCAAAAAGAUGGUGGUCUGCCAGAGAGGGCGCAUGGGCCUAAGCGGGACUGAAGCGCAGCGGCCCGUUAUCCUUCCACCGUUGGAAGCGGGCGGUAUUCGCUGCUCUGUGAAGCCAGCCUCACGCAUUGCCCGCCGCUCUAGGUGCCGGGACGCCAAGGCCUUCGCCGAAGCACCCACGGCCCACUACGCAACUUGGAACGGGCGGGCCGCAGAUUGCGGCAGCAGACCCAGGCCCAAGCGCCACAAUUGGCAUCCGCACCACCUUAAUGCCCCCGCUCGGGUUACAAGCAGGCGCUAGCUGCUCGGCGAGUGAGGCGCGG